rnacentral:lncRNA from 1 species
GGAAGGCAGGGCUGCCGGAGUGGGUGAGAUACACACAGGCAGAUGCUGAGGAGAACAGGAUUGUAAAGCUGCAUUAUGUAGCGACGAGUGUGCUGCGAGAAAGGGAGAGAGAGAGAGAGAGAGAGAGAUCAAGGAGGAGGAGGAGAGAGAGACAGCAAACCUUGCCAGGUAAACAUCUCUGUUUCCUAUUAACAAUCCAUCCCUCCCGCAUUGAUAAGGAAUGAGUGGAUCCCUGCAGAGAGAAGCUGAAUAUUGCUGGUAAUCUGUGCUGUAUACUGACUGGAUGCACAGAACCUGCCAGGGUUAUUGAAGCACCUUCCUGCUGCUCUGGAUGGACUUCUUGGAAGGUCUGAAUAUGUGAAGAUCCAGGGCAGGGAUACGUUGUAGCUGUGGUACAGGGCAGGGAUACGUUGUAGCUGUGGUACAGGGCAGGGAUACAUUGUUGCUGUGUAUAUUCCUAUGUCUAUGGAAGAACCCAUCUCUCUCCAGGGUUGGAUUACAAGGAUGGCUUGUGUUUGGCAAGAGAAAGAACAUCAAAUGGUCUUUUAGGUGGCUUUUGCUUUGGAAUGUCAUCUCCUGGGUGGUUCUUUAAAAAAUUGAUACCCUACAACCUCCGCCAUUGGAUACCCAGCCUGGUUGACAACUUACCCACGGCUGGUGGAGACGGCGGACCCACCAGGUCUUGGCUUUGGUUUGCUCUGGGUUUUCCGGGUUUUUGGGGCGUUGGAAAGAGUCCCGGACAUUUAGGAAAGCGGGAUUUAACACCGUAAGUUUGUUUCUAAAAAACUGAAAUAAAAGGAAGAAAAAAUUUAAAAAGGAGGAUUGUGGGAAAGAAGAUGGGAAUUUGGGGUUCUGACUGAAAUGCUAAACAAACUCCUCUCCAGAUUAAUCGAAGGAGGCUGUCGUUCAACCAAGGAUCUUUACUGUCUAUGAAGGGGGCAGGUAAUGCUUGUUUUCAACUCUUUUGUAUGAAAACGCUUUGUGCUUGUACUGGAGGUCAUAGUCCUCCUAAUGUUCAAAGAGAUAAAUUGAGAUGGGGAGGUUAAUAAAUCCAAUGUUCUGUAGAAAAGGAGUGGUGGCCACAUGGCUCAGCCACCCAAGGCAGAUGAUCCCAAGGCAGACAACAGAAAAAGGGCAUUCAAAUAUUAUUUUCUAAAAGCACAGAAUGACAAUCUGUUAUAUAUUGUAUAGUGUAGAUAAGGUAGUUAUUGUUAUGAUUGAAUGGACCGUGUUUUUUAUAUAUAUAUAUUUAUUUAUUUAUUUAUUUGAGAUUAUUUUUGUGAUUACUGCAGUGACUAAAAGUAGCAACCCCCCCCCCCCCACAAUUUUUUUUAUUUAUUUUUUACCUAAAUUGUAAAGUAUACUGAUGAUGGCUCAUUGACCUGGUAGAACCGUUGCAGAAUCCAAAGUGUGUCUCUUUCUAAGUGUAUAUAUAUACCAGUUUAUUAAUCUAUUAAUGUAUUUAUUCCUGGGCUGCGAUAUCACUGUUAUUCAAUACUAAUUACAUUUCCCAUAUAUUAACCGUGUAAGUCUUCUGUUACUAAUCAUUGAAAAUGCUUGAUUCCUUUAAAUAUAUUCUCCUUGAAGACACCAUGCUUCAUCUCUAAGACUACAGAAAUAUUAGUAGGGAAAUGGAGGAGUCUUACGUGAUUGGUAAUACAGAGGUGUAAGCAUAUGGACCAUGGUACUGGCCAAGAGAAGACCUAUAGUGGGGGGGGAGGGGGGGGGCAUUUCACGAGGGGGCGUGGGGGUGCAAGACAUUGACUAUGCGGAAAAGAAGUUAAAGGCAUUUUAUAGAUCAUUUUGAAUCAUUGUCUAAAAGUAUUGUAUUUAUGUAUUACAUUGAAAUGUCCAUUGUGCUGUCAUUUAAAGAGUUUUUUUAUUUACAUUUCUGAUGAAUAGAUUGGCGUCCAGAAUCUAGAGCAAAAAUUACAACACGCUGAUUUUAGCUUAUCUAUGUAUCUAUCUAUCUAUCUGUCUAUUAUCCAUCUAUCUAUCCAUCUUAUAUCUAAGUGUCUAUCUAUCUAUCUAUUAUCUAUCUAUCUAUCCAUAUAUCCGUCCGUUUAUCUAUCUAUAUAUCUAUCUAUCUAUCUAUUAUACAUCUAUCUAUCUUAUAUCUAUCUGUCUUUCUAUCUAUCUAUUAUCUAUCUAUCCAUAUGUCCAUCCAUCCGUCUAUCUAGCUAUUAUCUAUCUAUCUAUCUAUCUAUCUAUCUAUCCAUAUAUCCGUCCAUUUAUCUAUCUAUAUAUCUAUCUAAUAUCUAUCUAUCUAUUAUCUUUCUAUCCGUCCGUCUAUCUAUCUAUCUAUCUAUUAUCUAUCUAUCUAUCCAUAUGUCCAUCCAUCCGUCUAUCUAGCUAUUAUCUAUCUAUCUAUCCGUCUAUCUAUCUAUCUAUCUACCCGUCUAACUAUCUAUCUAUCUAUUAGAUCUAUCUAUCUAUCUAUCUAUCUGUCUGUUUAUCUAUCUAUCUAUCUAUCUAUCUAUCCAUAUAUCCGUCCGUUUAUCUAUCUAUCUAUAUAUCUAUUCAUCUAUCAUCUAUCUAUCUAUCCAUAUAUCCGUCCGUCUAUCUAUCUAUAUAUCUAUCUAAUAUAUAUCUAUCCGUCUAUCUAUCAAUCUAUUUAUCUAUCUAUUAUCUAUCUAUCUGUCUAUCUAUCUAAUAUCUAUCUAUCUAUUAUCUAUCUAUCCGUCUAUCUAUCUAUUUAUCUAUCUAUUAUCUAUCUAUCUGUCUAUCUAUCUGUCUAUCUAUCUGUCUAUCUAUUAUCUAUCCAUAUAUACGUCUAUCUAUCUAUCUAUCUAUCUAUCUAUCUCUUGUUAACACAUUUACAGAUCUAUAUUUAUCUUAUACCUUAGUCAAUGAUACCUUAGACAAGAUCCUGUCACAUUAUGGUAAGAAGAAUUCACAUGUAUCUGUUAGUAUUGUAAAGAUGAAAAUACUUCACACUCAGUUCAUUGUAAGAUAAAUUGUCCGAAUGACAAGCUGUGCAUUUAUGAAAUAAAUGAAUCUCUGGACGUGUGUGCAAUACCUGUAUCGAUUAGUCACACACACACAGAUUAUAUAACUAUAGUACCGCAAUGUGAAAUUGGCCUCUGUAGUUUUUAACACUGCAAAUAAAAGAAUUCAUCGCUUGAUGGUUUGUGAAUGCCGAGGCUAAAAGCAGAGAGGAUCCCAUCACAAAUGCUGUCUAUUGAUUUUACCUCACUUUGUCUGAUCACAUUACAAUCUAUGGGGGCAGCUCACGGAAACGGGGUGCUCUGUACAAGGAUACAGGCAGUGGGUGCUAGGUUGAAUAAUAGGAUCUUGUGGGUAAUCUGGAGUUUGGGUGCCAAAGGGGUAAUUUGCAGUAUGUUGCUUCCACUUACGGUUUGGAUCAUAGGAUGUAAUCAUUUCUAAGUGUAGAGAAGAGCGAUGGUUAACCUUUGACACUGCAGAAUUUAAGGACACUGCAGAAUUUAAGGGCUCAGCCAGUUUAAAUAUAUCUACAAGCUGAUAAAACUAUAAAUGACCUGCUGGGUAUCAGUCGGGUCGUUGGAUGAAGGUACAAGUUGAACAGAUGUUUAGUGGACUUUCGAAUGCCUGUAGCACGUUGGUAACAUUGUACUUCUGACUCAAUGAUGCUGUGAGUAUGUGUAAAUGAUAUAAGGAGCAGUGUGGGAUAUGCUGUAUACAUGCAUCUUAUUUAAUCAGGUCCCAUGGCAGAGAAUUGAAUAACCUACAGACAAGUAACAAACAUUCCUGUAUUAUCAACACAAAUGAAUGCAUACAUUGUUACUCACAUCCACAAAUAUUCACCCCUUCAUACAAGCAUUACACACAGACACCUCACGCCCACACACUACACACGCAUACGCUGUAAUAAUUGUCAUGCUAACGUUGACUAAUAUUACACAGACACCUUUCUACCCACAACAAUAUUACCUACACAGCCCUCGCACGCCAACAUACAAUCCCUCCCAGACACAUACUACAAUAACACUGUCUCUGACACAUAUACACAUAUAUUAUACAUAGCACACACUGUGCUCAAACAUACACACACUUUACACUACACACACACUUUGCAUUGCCCCCACCAACACACCCACAGCAUGCACAUAUACUACACACGGUACACACCAUAAACACACUAUAAACAACACACACAGCAUACACUGCACACACCAUGCACUGCACACUGAACAGACAGUACUGUCCAGAGCGCACACACUGUAGAGCCCACAUAUGCAUACACCCCACUACAUGUACAACAUACACUGCACGCACACUGUACACAGAACACACACUAGACACAUACACUAUACACUGCACACACACACACACACUUUUACACAGAACACACACUAUACACUGCACAUACACACACUGUACACAGAAUACACACUAGACACUGCACACAAAAACACUGUCCACAUAACACACACUAUACACAGCGCGCGCACACUGUCUAGAGAACACACACUAUACACUGCACACACACUGUCCACAAAGUACAAACUAUACACUGCACACACACACACUGUACACAGAACACACACUAUACACAGCACACACACACACACACACACACAUUGUACACAGAACACACACUAUACACAGCACACACAAACACACACACUGCCCACAGAACACACACUAUACACUGCACACACACUUUUACACAGAACACACACUAUACACUGUGCAUACACACACUGCCCACAGAACACACACUAUACACUGCACACACACACUGUACACAGAGCACACACUAUACACAGCAGACACACACACUGUACACAGAACACACAAUACACUGCACACACACACUGUACACAGAACACACACUAUACACAGCGCAAAACACACUGUCCACAGAACACACUAUACACAGCGCACACACACACUGUACACAGAACACACACUAUACACUGCACACACUAAAAAACACGGCGUACACACUUAACACAGCAGACACACUUACACAAACUAUAUACAGCGCACAAACAUGUAUGCAUGCACUGUACACAGCACACACACUAUAUACAAGACACAUAUGCAUAAACACACUCAAACAGCAUUGCAUUAAAGCAUACAGCCACUAAAAUAGCUUUUGUGUUAAUUUGUGCACAAAAAUACAUUCUUACUAUAUGGAUACUCUAAUCUCUUACACAGUAACAGUACACACACACAACACGCACACAAGGCUGGAGUUGACCUCUUAGAUAGACAAUGUAUAUUGAAAUAGAAUAAUACUAACGUUGGAACCUUUCUUAUUUGAAAUAUAUCCAGAUCUUUGUUUUGACGUUAAUGUCUACGUAACGCAGGAAUGGCUGACAUCUCUUUUAGCCUGGUCCUCCCAUAGCUUUCACUCAGCCUGAUUUGCCCAUGAAUGACAGGAAUUUGCUCAAUUAGUUUUUUUAAUUUUUAAAAUUGUGAUUGAAAUCCUGCUACUAGGUCUGUAGAACAUCCUGGCAGCUGCUGCACAGCGUGCAGUAAUAACUUAUAGGAGAACUAAAUACAUGUCGUAAACUUACUCCCAGCAGGGGAUUUAAGGGGUUAAUUGCAAAAAAUACGAAAAUCUGGUUUAUUCCAAGUGGAAGAAAGAUAGAGAAGAUAAACGAAUCUGAGGACUAUACGUGCUAGAAAAAAAUACACAAAUAGAGGUAUGUCAUGGAAUAACAAUAAACGGACUUCUACUACACACACACACCAUCCUUACAGACUAAUAAUCAUACUCAUACGUGAAGAAUAUGUAAACCAACCCUUAUAUACACAGACACAGACACACACACACACACACCAUCCCUACAGACUAAUAAUCGUACUCAUACGUGAGGAAUAUGUAAACCAACCCUUAUAUACACAGACACACACACACACACACCAUCCUUACAGACUAAUAAUCAUACUCAUACGUGAGGAAUAAUAAACCAACCCUUAUAUACACAGACACAGACCCACACACACACACACACCAUCCUUACAGACUAAUUAUCAUACUCAUACGUGAGGAAUAAUAAACCAACCCUUAUAUACACAGACACAGACACACACACACACACACCAUCCCUACAGACUAAUAAUCAUACUCAUAUGUAAACCAACCCUUAUAUAUACACAGACAUAGACCCCCUCAUACAUACACAAAUAACACAACCUCAGACCCCUUAUAAACAAACAUGAAGAAUAAACACACAGACCCGUACACACUCACACAGUCCCCUUCAUACAUACACAAAGAACACACACACAGAUUAGUCAUACACACUAAUUAUAUACACACACACACAGAUCUAAUAAACAUACAUGAAGGAUACACACACACACACACACACACAUACACAGAGCUUUAUACACACAAACAGCUUCAUGCAUGCACAAAGAAUUAACAGAGCCCUUAUUUAAACUUAUAAUAUGCCCACAGGCCAUCAGACAGGAACUAGGUAAUAAACGCUCACACGGACACUAACAGUACACACACGUAUACACACGCACACUGUCAUGGUUUAGCUGCCAUGAAUCUCUGUCCCAAGCCACCCGGCUGUAAAUUUAUACUGCCAGUACAACAGCAUUAAGAUCAAAUUUAAUCUUGUAACUGCGCACCGGGCAUUAAAAAUAUGGAGUCCACACUCAUAACAUUGUGAAGGGACAUUCGUCACUCCAAUGGCGAGACAGGAGUGUGAAUAUUCAGGAUGGAUGGUGAUAUCACACCGUAAAUGCUUCCACUUAGAUAUAUAACUAUUGACAAAUACAUAUAUAUUUAUUCCCCAGUGGCUGUGCUUUGGGAAUACAGAAGCGGGAGUGACCAGAGUAUUUCUUGUGCCUGUGAGAAGUAUUGAAAUCACUAAAUUAUAACUCAGUGGUGCUGGGUGAUAAAUUAGGAAAAUCACAAAUCUGAGGAGAUUUAUCAAGGCAAAGAGAGAGCUAUAGAGAGAGACAGUCUAUUGGUUUCCAUGGUGACUGCUCCUUAUUUAGCACUUAGCCCUAUACUAGCGCCGGUUUUUGCCUUAAUAAAUCAACCCCUCUCUCUUUGAAAAUAACGUGCACCUUCCAUGACAUAUUGUCUGUCCAAAGUAAAUAAUGUAAUUCCAUCAACAGCCUGCACUAGCUGCAUUAUCAAUUGUUUGUAUUUUUUUUCAGUUUACCAUUAUGCCAUUGUAACGGCACUCACAGCAUCAAAUAAUAAAACCGCCGUUUAGUUAAUCCUCCCCUCUCACCAUAACGCAAGCUUCAUUCGUACCAACUCCAAUUAUACGAAGUGCAAGCAGGGAAAUACUCCAAUCUCCCGAAUGGGACCCGUACGGGUACUUCACUUCCCAAUCAGUAAACUCACGAAUCACGGCUAACAGCCGAAACCAUAUAUCUCCCAAGCGGCUAAUAAUUCCAUCCGGCAGUCGCUAUUCGUGUGUAGUAAAUUCCCCUCCAAUAACGAGACCAAGCUGCGCAUUGAGGGUAAAACAUGAACUGGGUUUACUGUGGGCUACCCGCCCGUAUUUAUGCAGGUCUCCCACUUGGUGGACACUCCCCUAGGGGACCAAAUGGGAGACUGUAAUGGCAGAUGGACAUACAGCAUUUCAGGACACACAGGCACAUAAUAUUCCCAGCAUGCAUCAUGGUUUCCUCCCCUCUGCCCUGGAGAUAAUUGAGAAGUAAUUCAAUUAUCUCCCAGGACAGAGGCAAAUCGCCAUUUUAGAUGCGACCCAAAAAACACAUAAAAAUAUAUAAUUUUACAACUACCGAACAUUUCCCAUUCGUGUAACGUAUCCCCAGAUAGCCUGGAUCUGAGUGCAUAUUAUUGGCGAAUAGCGCUCAGAUCCCAGACGCACAGUUCAAUCGCCAUGGAGUCAAAGUCUGGUACAGUCAUUCGGUAUGCGAUUGACUCCAUGGGAAGGCUAUCUGGGUUAAGUCCCUUGGUGCGGUUCAAAACUCCCGAACGGCCGGUGUUCGCAUGCUUUAGUCGAUGGAGAAGGGAGGUCGGUGGUUUUAGCGGUGUUCGGCAGAAAAAGUGUCCUUUUUCAGUUCCAUAGAAUCUAUCCAGAACACCGCUGGUCUUUCGCAUGUUUUAAAAUGGCCGCCGCCUCGUGGUCGACAUACGAACGACGACCACCCUGUAUUCGGUUAUAAUUGAGAGGUGUCUGCGGUUAACCACAACGUUCUAAUUGGGAUCAAGAGGUUAACCAGCAGCACACUUCUCUUCUGGGUGGCCUUCUUUUCUAUAAGUUCAUUCGGUAGUAAAGUCAAAUAAACGAACAGGGGCAUACGGACAGGUAAUUCCACGAAAAGAGGCAAAACAGACAAACCAGCAAUCUUAGUCUAUACAGAUGGAUCUGUCACAGCCAUUGACAGACCCUGAAAACACUUCACCUCACUGACUGCAUCCUCUUUCUUCAUUUUACAAAAAGUGGAGAUUUCAAUAGAAAUUGGCACUUUUAUAAUCUUACAUUGUCCUGGUUUUGUUAGCUCAGGGGAGAUAAACUCAAGAGGCAGAUAUUGUCCAGAGCACCUGCCUUGCAAAGACUUCUCAUUGAGCUGCAUUGGGAAGUCUGUGAUUGGACAGCCACAGAAAGUGUAGGCGGGGUUAGAAGGGGAGGGCUUGCAAAGGCUGCAGACAAGAGAUCAGCUUUUGUGAGAUGUUUUUAGAUAUAUCUAAAAAAAUGCAUAAUUAAAUGUAUGCAUGGAUUAAUUGGAUGUUUAUCUACUAAACACUAUUUUUUAAUUCUUUUUUAUUUAAUAUGAAAUCAAACAUCAACAAAUUUGGCAACAUAGGCAAAAGCAGGCACAGCUGUUUUAGUCCCACGUAAUUGAACAGAAUCCAACCAAUAAAAUUGAGCAAAUGCAUGAAGGACAUUGUAAGGAACACACGUGUCACUAUUGCUGUGUGGUUACAGGUGCAGCCAUCUUAAUAAAGGAGGCAGUGAUGGCCGGGUACAUCAUUCAAACUUUACAUUUUGGGGGAUUUUGUAAUAUAAAGAUUUCAUGUAUAUCUUCCUGAAGCUCGCCUUUUCAGUCUCACAUUUUGCCAUAAAGGUUGUUUUUUAUUAGAUUCUAAAUAAGUUAUUAAUUAUUUUACAGAGAAUGUAAUAUUUGCCAACAGUUCAACUGCACCAAGGUGGACACUUUCAUUUUAGGGGUGUGAGUGGGGUGCAGCCAGGGGUGGGGCUGCUCUGAGAAAUUUUAGGUGACAUACUAAUAACAAUUUCUACAAUUAAAAUGUAAUUUAGAACAAUGUAUCUUAUGUACUCAGACUGAUUUUUAAACACAUUUAUUGUAGUUUAAAGACACAUUACUGGGAGUAUUAUUGCUGUGGAGCUCCGUUAUACGCUCAGAUACAUUACUGGGAGUAUUAUUGUUGUGGAGCUCUGUUAUACACUCAUACACAUUACUGGGAGAAUUAUUACUGUGGAGCUCUGUUAUACACUCAGACACAUUACUGGGAGUAUUAUUGCCGUGGAGCUCUGUUAUACAUUCAGACACAUUACUGGGAGUAUUAUUGCCGUGGAGCUCUGUUAUACACUCAGACACAUUACUGGGAGUAUAAUUGCCGUGGAGCUCUGUUAUACACUCAGACACAUUACUGGGAGUAUUAUUGCUGUGGAGCUCUGUUAUACACUCAGACACAUUACUGGGAAUAUUAUUACUGUGGAGCUCUGUUAUACACACAGACACAUUACUGGGAGUAUUAUUGCUGUGGAGCUCUGUUAUACACUCAGACACAUUACUAGGAGUAUUAUUGCUGUGGAGCUCUGUUAUACACUCAGACACAUUACUGGGAGUAUUAUUGCUGUGGAGCUCUGUUAUACACUCAGACACAUUACUGGGAGUAUUAUUGUUGUGGAGCUCUGUUAUACACUCAGACACAUUACUGGGAGUAUUAUUGCUGUGGAGCUCUGUUAUACACUCAGACACAUUACUGGGAGUAUUAUUGCUGUGGAGCUCUGUUAUACACUCAGACACAUUACUGGGAGUAUUAUUGGUGUGGAGCUCCGUUAUACACUCAGACACAUUACUGGGAGUAUUAUUGCUGUGGAGCUCUGUUAUACACUCAGACACAUUACUGGGAGUAUUAUUGCUGUGGAGCUCUGUUACACAAUCAGUCACAUUAUUGGGAGUAUUAUCGCUGUGGAGCUCUGUUAUACAAUCAGUCACAUUAUUAGGAGUAUAGAGGCAUUUGGGCACAAAAUAGGGACUGUCUCUCCUAAACAGGGACACUUGGGAGGAAUGGAAUGGAAAGCGAGUAAUUUAUAACAAAUGCAGCAGACAGUUCAUUUCCUUACCUUGUCCCUAUGACUGUUAGUUAUCUUACCUUCCUAAACACAAUCUGUAAGUAAUAAUAAUUAUACGUAACCAAGAUAUAGAUUUAGCGUUUACGAAUAUAUGUCUUGAUGUUAUUUUUACCCAACUUAAUGGAAGUCAUUUUAUUGACGCCUGGAAGAUGAAUCGUUGAGUCCAUCCUAACAGGAAUCGAACUUGGAGUUUAUACAUAUCCCAAUAAUAGCGCAUCGGUGCACUAACUGCCGGGCUAUCCAACCACAUAUAAGUAGAUAUUUUAAAAUCCCCGGACCCUAAAGGAGGUGCAGUAAAUUCCUUGUACGGAAUAUUCACACGGAAACAGCAGGGAAUUCAAUGUGUGCAGUCAAAAAAGCCGAACCGGAAACAUUCUCCAAGUCAGCUAGGCUUUCAGCUCGGCUACUCUGGCCUUAACUUAGAAAUUCCCUUUGAAUUCUCACGUUAGUAAAUUCCUCUGUAAAUGGUACUAGUUAUUAAUAUCAUUCUUUUCAACUUUAUUGUUGAUCUAAAUUAGAAUUACAUCAUAAAAUGAAGAGCAUUUUGUGAAAAAGAAACAGAAUUGAGAUUUCUGGAAUUAAGGAAACGAAAAGCUGACUGUGUAUUGUUAGUCCAAGAUAUGGCAUUAGAAAACAGAGUAAGAAGGAAGAAAAGAGCAGUCUUUCAUGCCAGAAUACAUUAAAUAUUCCCUAAAACUCCUUCGUUUUAUUUAUUUUUUUAAGAAGCCGAACAUAGGCUGGUACCGUUUUUGUCUGUUAGUGAACGUCCCUCUUGAGAAAACAGUACCUGGAGGGCUGUCAGCGAACUACGAGUAAUGUGAUUACUUUAAAAAUCUAAAUAGAGAGAGACAUAAAUCAUUUCAAAAUAACAUAUCCACGAACACAUCAGGUAGAUGUGUAAUAAUGAGAGAGAAACAGACAUACAGACAGGUAGAUAGAUCCAGAUCGAUCGAUCGAUAGAUAGAUAGAUAGAUAGAUAGACAGACAGACAGACAGACAGACAGACAGACAGACAGACAGAUAGAUAGAUAUUAGAUAGAUAGAUAGAUAGAUAGAUAGAGAUAGACAAACAGACAGACAGGUAGAUAUAGAUAGAUAGAUAUAUAGACAAAUAGACAUAUAGAUAGAUAGAUAGAUAGAGAUAGAUAGACAGACAUAUAGAUAGAUAGAUAGAUAGAUAGAUAGAUAGAUAGAUAGACAAACAGACAGACAGGUAGAUAUAGAUAGAUAGAUAUAUAGACAGAUAGAUAGAUAGAUAUAUAGAUACUGUAUAGAUAGAUAGACAGACAGACAGUGUAACGGACCGUUUUGCACAAAAGGGGUAAAAAACGUUUAGGUGAUCGGCCCCCUUUCCAGAGAUGCAGGCACAGCUACUGCAGAACACCAAACACACGAACCGCCAAUAAGUGAAUGCUCCAAACACCCGAACGGCAUCCAAUACAGCACUCCAAAUACACGAACAGGAACCAUACAAAUUGCUGCUAGCAGACGAAUAGGAAAAGCCCCCAAGCGGCUUACACUCCUAGCAAUCAGUCUCUAACAGCAUAAAGUAAAUCCCCCCAAUAAUGAGACGACACUUCACUUUGAGGGUUAAGCAGGAACUCUUGUGCUGGCACACCCAGCCUGGUUUUUAUUACAGCCUUUCACAUACAGGACCGCCCACAGGGAGGUAUAAAACAACCAAUCACAUCACAGUUACAUCCCACAUAUUCCCUCCCCUUAUCCUGAGAGGAAACUCAAUUACACAUACAGUUAAAACAUACUUUCUACCCAACUUUCAUAACUCUAAAACCAUACAUCACAUUCACAUAAAAUUACAUUUCACAAUCAAUCCAUUCAGGGGAACAACAUAUUAAAAAAUGGCAUGAAUCAGACCAGGGGUUCAAAAGUUAGUAAAAGUAUCUUUUGGGCCCUGGCUGGCAGCAUGGCUAUCUGGCUCAAACAGGUUUUACAGAGCCCUCUAUCCUGGACAGUCGGGGAAAGUAAUCCAAUUAUCCAGGGAUAGAGGCAGACUCCAUUGAGCACAUGGUUGCAAAAAGACAUAAAACACUUUAAAAUACAUAAAGUCAGCUUUUACACAUAACACACAGAAUUUCACAUAUCCCCAGAUAGCUGGGAUCUGAGCGCACAAAACUACCGAAUAGCACUCAGAUCCUAUUCACACAGUUCAAUUGCCAUGGAGCCGAAGUCUUUAACUACACGAAUGGGCUCCAUGGCAUAGCUAUCUGGGUUAACACAUUCACACAAAGUCUGGUCCAUAGUCCAAAGGCAAGAGGCGGGCAGCCAGGCUUCUCCAAUGCCAUGUGGCGAGAUUGCUCUCGUCACAGACAGAUAGAUAGAUAGAUAGAUAGAUAGAUUGGAUAGUUAGAUAGACAGAUAGAUAGAUAGAUAGAUAGAUAGAUAGAUAGAUAGAUAGAUAGAUAGAUAGAUAGAUAGAUAGAUAGAUAUUGGAUAGAUAGAUAGAUAGACAGACAGACAGACAGGUAGAUAUAGAUAGAUAGAUAGAUAGAUAGAUAGAUAGAUAGAUAGAUAGAUAGACAUAUAGACAGAUAGAUAGAUAGAUAGAUAGAUAGAUAGAUAGAUAGAUAGAUAGAUAGAUAGAUAAUUGAUUGAUAGAUAGAUAAUUUAUAGAUAGAUAGAUCAAUAAUUGAUUGAUAGAUAGAUAGAUAAAUAGAUAGAUAGAUAGAUAGACAGACAGACAGACAGACAUAUAGACAGAUAGACAGAUAGAUAGAUAGAUAGAUAGAUAGAUAGAUAGAUAGAUAGAUAGAUAGAUCAUUUCUUAUUCAGAAUUGUAAGGUUUUAUGUAUUAAGUCUAUUCUCCGGUAGCUGAGUUCAGGGACAGGAACAAAACCUGGAAGACAUCCAUCAUUUCCAGACACAGUAGGAUAUUGAAUAGACUUGGGAGGAGUCCAGAGAAGGUGAAGAGAGUAUUCCGUAUUAAAUAAAGGAUCAAUAACGUACUAAGAUUAUACAGAUAUGUAAGACUGCCAUUUGUAGAUGCUAAAAAGGUAAUUGUGACAACAGCAAUCUCGCCACAUUGCAUUGUAGAAGCCGGGUUGUUCGCCUGUUGCCUUUGGAUUAUGGCCCCAUGUUAAAAGGCUUGAUUUUCCCCUGCAAAGACAAGAAAUCCGGGUCAUUUGGUGCUGGCCCUGUUUGAGCAGUGAUACCCCAGAUCGCUAUGCCAUGGAGCCCAUUCGUAUAAUGAAAGACUAUGGGAAAGACUUUGGCUCCAUGGCAAUUGAACUAUAUGUGUGUGCUCUGAGCGCCAUUCAGUAAUAAUGUGCGCUCAGACCUAAGCUAUCUGGGCAUAUGUUGCAUGUCUGUAUUUUAUGUCAUAAAUGUAACCUUGUGUAUUGUAUUUUACUGUCUUUUUGCUGCCAUGUGUUCAAUGGAGUUUUGCCUCUGUCUUUGGAGAUAAUUGGAUUACUUCUAAUUAUCUCCAGGAUAGAAGACUCUGUGGAACUGGUUUUGGGCAGAAAAGCCAUGCUUCCUUUGGUCACAAAGGACUACGAUCUAUCUUUUGAACCACUGGACCAAUUUGGAUGAUUUUGACAUAUGUUUGUAUUUGGAGUAUGCUGAUUCUGAAAAUGUUUUAUGUGAAUGUGAUGCAUACUUUUCAAGUUAUGAAUAAUGUGGAAAAAUGGUAUUUCUCUGCUUGUUAUAAUUACAUUACCCAUUGUGUAAGGUAAUUGUAUCACAGGCAGAGGGGAGGAUUUUGUGUGGGAGUGUCUGAGUGUAUUGUAUGUGUUUAUUGGUUGUGUUCCAAAACCCUGUGGGUGGUACUAAUGUGUAAGAAUGUGUACAUAAGCACAAUAAACCCACAGCUCUGUCUGUUCACUGCUUGACCCUCAACACAGAGCUUUGUCUCGUUCUUGGGGGGAUUUACUGUAUGCUGUUAGAGACUGAUUGCCCGGAGUGUAAGCUGCUUGGGUGCUUUUCCUGUUCAGCUGCUAGCAGCUAUUCGUGAGGUUCCCGUUCUGGAUUUUGGAGUGCUACUUGGUAUCCUGUUCGGGAGUUUGGUGUUCUGCAGUAGCUGUGCCUGCAUCUCUGAAUGGGGACGAUCGCCUAAACGGUUUUAACCCCUUGUAAGCUGAAAUGGUCCGUUACAGUAAUUUAUACUGCUCAGGUAACAUUAAGACCUGAGCAGGGAUUUACCAAAGGGCAAGUCACAGAGUUUCUUUAAGCUUUUGUCUGUUCUCAGAAUUCUCAAAUCCUUUGUUUUUGUUGCAAUGCAUCUACUUAGGUUAAGUCUUAACUUAAAAUACUAAUAGAUGUGGCUAUAUGUUCACAGUGACCAGAGAGAUCCAAGCUACGCCCAAAGAAGGCCAGAUGAUCGUCCGGGUUUGUUGUAUCUCUUCUGCCGAGAGAACUUGCCGGCAUUCGGUUCUAGACUGCUCUCAUGGGUGGGAUCAGUCUGAUGUGCAAAUAGGACAGGUUCACUCAGGCUUAAUUGAGCCCUGAGUGGGGACUAACCGAAGGGCAAGCUACUGAGAUUUUAACAGUGAGAGUGAAGAAGAAGAUUGCGGUAAAUCAACGCAAACAAACAGACUUGUUUCUAUAAAAAAGAAAGUAAAAAUGUACAUCAGGAUGUUAGCGCUAAUUGUUUGCUUGGCUUAUUUUUUACAGGAAAUCUGUCAUUGAUUUUUAUUAUUUAAAACACGUUAUCUAUGCAUACAGUGCUUCUCCUGCUUCCUGAGGGCAGCCAUCUUUAAAUCCUCUUGAGUCUGACAUUUUGCUUAUCCAACCAGAGACCAUACAGAUAAGUAAGUGUUAGUUUAUAAAUGCUGAUAUCUGCAAGUGAUGAUCAUCUCAAAAAUAUUCUUUGCGUUACAUUCAGCCAUUCAAAAUGUCCUAGUAGUUCAUACAACCAAAGAGGACUUAAAGAUGGCUGCCCCCACGGAGCACGGAGAUACACUGUAACAAAGAGGACUUAAAGAUGGCUGCCCCCACGGAGCACGGAGAUACACUGAAACAAAGAGGACUUAAAGAUGGCUGCCCCCACGGAGCACGGAGAUACACUGAAACAAAGAGGACUUAAAGAUGGCUGCCCCCACGGAGCACACAGAUACACUGAAACAAAGAGGACUUAAAGAUGGCUGCCCCCACGGAGCACACAGAUACACUGAAACAAAGAGGACUUAAAGAUGGCUGCCUCCACAUAGCACAGAGAUACACUGAAACUAGAGAUUUACUUGUAUCUGCAUUACAAGAAUACACAGAGAUUAUAUUAUUGACUAUUAUGAGACUAUAUUAUUGACUAUUAUGAGACUAUAUUAUUGCAUAUAAGCUUUUAGAAGGCACUCACAUGGCGCUGUUGCGUAAAUGUUAUGAAAUAAACCUAAGCGAAUCUGAGGGAUUAUUUAAUAAACUGAAUUGUGCAAAAUUGAAAAAAAGGGAUGUGUAAAUUGGAAAAAGACCUGGCUGGAUAUUUUGUUUCAGUUUGACCUAUUUUGGUUUAAACGGUAUAAUUCCCUUACCAAUUGCCGUAGGAUUCUCUGCGUUGUGAACCUUCUCAUAUCGGAAAUGGAUGAAAAUAGACUGAGGGAUAGGAUGCAGGGUAUGCAUUGAUUGAUUGUCAUUGAUGGCCCAGUUUACAAAAGAAUUAAAAUUGUAAUCAAGGACUUGUCCUGGGACCACCCCCUGUCACUUUCCAUGUUACUAUUUUUGUAGAGAGCUUUGAAUGUCUGGCUGUUCACUAAAGGCAGAGAAUUAUAAGAGCUCGGGUAUUUAGAAAAGUAUAUUUCUUCCCGGUACAUGAUGUCUGUGACGAUGUAUUGCUUAAUACUGCAAUGAAGUUUUUUAUUCAACUAAAGCACUUUUGAUUGAUUGACAAGCUUUCAGGAGUUGCAUUUCAAACCUGUGGCGUGAUCCAGUGGUAAACCUAUAACAAGGCAUAUAAAACGCAGUCUAAAGCAGAUUUAAAAACCUCAGCAUUGUAAAUAUUCAGGGCACGAGAUUUGUGUACGAUGAUAAGAGAGGAAUAAAUAAUAGUGUUUAAAAUACAGAUUAUUUUAUUUGUUGAACAUGAAUUGUAGAGAAUUCAUAAAUUCUUUGCAAAUAGUAGACAAAUGUGUCUGGGAAUCUAUAAUAAACAUACAAAAAAUCUAUAAUAAACAUACAAAAAACAAAAACAAAAACACACACGCACAUAUGCACGCAUCCCAACGCCCCACCUCUGUACGAACCCUCAAAUAUCUGGGAUCACAGACAUUUACUAAGAAUCUGGUAUCACUUUAGAAAGCACAUUUAAAUUGUGCAAUAUGGAAUAUCAAAAACAGCAAUCAUCGUGAUGGCUGUUAACAUCAUUGGAACAAUGUGAUUUUUUUUGUGUUUCUGGUUCAGGUGUGAAUAUACAUUUUUUUCAUUUUUGUUUUAGAAUCUCUUGAAAGAAAUACUAGCUGUAGAUUUAUCAGAGUGCCUAUUUAAACGAUGGGUAUAGGAAGCACAGGGGAUGGGGAGAAUGUCCCCAGAGAAAUAUUUCAGGAGGGCAUAGAGAGGGGGCCUCCAGGAAAUGUUGCAGGAGGUUGUAGAGAGGGGACCUCUAAAAAAUGUCGCAGGAGUGCAUAGAGAGGGGACCUCUAAGAAAUGUCGCAGGAGGGCGUAGAGAGGAGACCUCUAAAAAAUGUUGCAGGAGGGCGUAGGAAGAGGAAAUCUAAGAAAUGUUGCAGGAGGGCGUAGAGAGGGGACCUUUAAGAAAUGUCGCAGGAGGAAUUGUUGAAACUGCAAUAAUUACCUUUCAGAGUUAAUGCCACGUCUAGAGGCUGUCUACCAGACAGCCACUAGAGGGCCUUCCGGGUGGUUAGGCGACCAAAAGGGUGGGCGCUAGAGAGAGGGCACUGUAGGAACCUAUAGUGCCAGGAAAACGUCCUUCGCAUGUUAAGAUGGGAAGAUCGUCAUCAGAUAGUACUGGGUUUAAGUCUUUGAAGAUUUGCACAUUUUCUAAAGGCAGAGCUGCAUGCAGCCACUUGCAGAACAUGUGUGGAGACAUUUCUCUUUGUACUGUAACAGGCCUGCCCAUGGUGUAUUCAGAGCAGAGUUUAUUUUUUAGUUAUGGUCUUUGGUUUAGAUCAUUUGUGACUGAGUGACUCAGACAGUAUGUUUACUGUUUAGAAGUGGCCUUCAGUGUCUAGGUAUAAUACCUGGGAGCCUGGUCUUAAACAUUGUCUUAAAUAUUGUGAGAAUGAGGGUGUCUAGUAUGUCUAGUUUGGUUUGAUUGGAUGAUGACCAUUAGCGGUUGUUACAGGGUUGGUUUGAUUGGAUAAUAACCAUUAGUGGUUGUUGCAGGUUCGAUUUAAUUGGAUGAUAACCAUUAGCGGUUGUUACAGGUUUGGUUUGAUUGGAUGAUAACCAUUAGGGGUUGUUACAGGUUUGGUUUGAUUGGAUAAUAACCAUUAGCGGUUGUUACAGGUUUGGUUUGAUUGGUUUAUAGCCAUUAGCGGUUGUUACAGGUUUGGUUUGAUUGGAUGAUGACCAUUAGCGGUUGUUACAGGUUUGAUUUGAUUGGAUGGUAACUAUUAGUGGUUGUUGCAGGUUUGGUUUGAUUGGAUGAUGACCAUUAGCGGUUGUUACAGGUUUGGUUUGAUUGGAUGAUAACCAUUAGCGGUUGUUACAGGUUUGGUUUGAUUUGAUGAUAACCAUUAGCGAUUGUUACAGGUUUGGUUUAAUUGGAUGUUAAACAUUAGCAGUUGUUACAGGUUUGAUUUGAUUGGAUGAUAACCAUUAGCGGUUGCUACAGGUUUGGUUUGAUUGGUUUAUAACCAUUAGCGGUUGUUACAGGUUUGGUUUGAUUGGAUGAUGACCAUUAGCGGUUGUUACAGGUUUGGUUUGAUUGGAUGAUAACCAUUAGCGAUUGUUACAGGUUUGGUUUAAUUGGAUGAUAAACAUUAGCGGUUGUUACAGGUUUGGUUUCUAGCGGCUGUUACAGGUUUGGCUUGAUUGGAUGGUAACCAUUAGCGGUUGUUACAGGUUUGGUUUGAUUGGAUGAUGACCAUUAGCGGUUGUUACAGGGUUGGUUUGAUUGGAUAAUAACCAUUAGUGGUUGUUGCAGGUUCGAUUUAAUUGGAUGAUAACCAUUAGCGGUUGUUACAGGUUUGGUUUGAUUGGAUGAUAACCAUUAGGGGUUGUUACAGGUUUGGUUUGAUUGGAUAAUAACCAUUAGCGGUUGUUACAGGUUUGGUUUGAUUGGUUUAUAGCCAUUAGCGGUUGUUACAGGUUUGGUUUGAUUGGAUGAUAAACAUUAGCGGUUGUUACAGGUUUGAUUUGAUUGGAUGAUAACCAUUAGCGGUUGUUACAGGUUUGGUUUGAUUGGAUGAUAACCAUUAGCGAUUGUUACAGGUUUGGUUUAAUUGGAUGAUAAACAUUAGCGGUUGUUACAGGUUUGGUUUGAUUGGAUGAUGACCAUUAGCGGUUGUUACAGGUUUGGUUUGAUUGGAUGAUAACCAUUAGCGGUUGUUACAGGUUUGGUUUGAUUGGAUGAUGACCAUUAGCGGUUGUUACAGGUUUGGUUUGAUUGGAUGAUAACCAUUAGCGGUUGUUACAGGUUUGGUUUGAUUUGAUGAUAACCAUUAGCGAUUGUUACAGGUUUGGUUUAAUUGGAUGAUAAACAUUAGCGGUUGUUACAGGUUUGAUUUGAUUGGAUGAUAACCAUUAGCGGUUGCUACAGGUUUGGUUUGAUUGGUUUAUAACCAUUAGCGGUUGUUACAGGUUUGGUUUGAUUGGAUGAUGACCAUUAGCGGUUGUUACAGGUUUGGUUUGAUUGGAUGAUAACCAUUAGCGAUUGUUACAGGUUUGGUUUAAUUGGAUGAUAAACAUUAGCGGUUGUUACAGGUUUGGUUUCAUUGGAUGAUAACCAUUAGCGAUUGUUACAGGUUUGGUUUAAUUGGAUGAUAAAAAUUAGCGGUUGUUACAGGUUUGAUUUGAUUGGAUGAUAACCAUUAGCGGUUGUUACAGGUUCGGUUUAAUUGGAUGAUAACCAUUAGCGGUUGUUACAGGUUUGGUUUGAUUGGAUGAUAACCAUUAGCGGUAGUUAUAGGUUUGGUUUGAUUGGAUGAUGACCAUUAGCGGUUGUUACAGGUUUGGUUUGAUUGGAUGAUAACCAUUAGCGGUUGUUACAGGUUUGGUUUGAUUUGAUGAUAACCAUUAGCGGCUGUUACAGGUUUGGCUUGAUUGGAUGGUAACCAUUAGCGGUUGUUACAGGUUUGGUUUGAUUGGAUGAUAACCAUUAGCGAUUGUUACAGGUUUGGUUUAAUUGGAUGAUAAACAUUAGCGGUUGUUACAGGUUUGAUUUGAUUGGAUGAUAACCAUUAGCGGUUGCUACAGGUUUGGUUUGAUUGGUUUAUAACCAUUAGCGGUUGUUACAGGUUUGGUUUGAUUGGAUGAUGACCAUUAGCGGUUGUUACAGGUUUGGUUUGAUUGGAUGAUAACCAUUAGGGAUUGUUACAGGUUUGGUUUAAUUGGAUGAUAAACAUUAGCGGUUGUUACAGGUUUGAUUUGAUUGGAUGGUAACUAUUAGUGGUUGUUGCAGGUUCGGUUUAAUUGGAUGAUAACCAUUAGCGGUUGUUACAGGUUUGGUUUGAUUGGAUGAAAACCAUUAGCGGUAGUUACAGGUUUGGUUUGAUUGGAUGAUGACCAUUAGCGGUUGUUACAGGUUUGGUUUGAUUGGAUGAUAACCAUUAGCGGUUGUUACAGGUUUGGUUUGAUUUGAUGAUAACCAUUAGCAGCUGUUACAGGUUUGGCUUGAUUGGAUGAUAACCAUUAGCGGUUGUUGCAGGUUCGGUUUGAUUGGAUGAUAACCAUUAGCAGUUGUUACAGGUUUGGUUUGAUUGGAUGAUAACCAUUAGCGGUUGUUACAGGUUUGGUUUGAUUGGAUGAUAACCAUUAGCGUUUGUUACAGGUUUGGUUUGAUUGGAUGAUAACCAUUAGCGGUUGUUACAGGUUUGGUUUGAUUGGAUGAUGACCAUUAGCGGUUGUUACAGGUUUGGUUUGAUUGGAUGAUAACCAUUAGCGGUUGUUACAGGUUUGGUGUGAUUGGAUGAUAACCAUUAGCGGUUGUUGCAGGUUCGGUUUGAUUGGAUGAUAACCAUUAGCGGUUGUUACAGGUUUGGUUUGAUUGGAUGAUGACCAUUAGCAGUUGUUACAGGUUUGGUUUGAUUGGAUGAUAACCAUUAGCGGUUGUUACAGGUUUGGUGUGACUGGAUGAUAACCAUUAGCGGUUGUUAGAGGUUUGGUUUGAUUGGAUGGUAACUAUUAGUGGUUGUUGCAGGUUCGGUUUAAUUGGAUGAUAACCAUUAGCGGUUGUUACAGGUUUGGUUUGAUUGGUUUAUAACCAUUAGCGGUUGUUAUAGGUUUGAUUUGAUUGGAUGAUAACCAUUAGCGGUUGCUACAGGUUUGGUUUGAUUGGAUAAUAACCAUUAGCGGUUGUUGCAGGUUCGGUUUGAUUGGAUGAUAACCAUUAGCGGUUGUUACAGGUUUGGUUUGAUUGGAUGAUAACCAUUAGCGGUAGUUACAGGUUUGGUUUGAUUGGAUGAUAACCAUUAGCAGUUGUUACAGGUUUGGUUUGAUUGGAUGAUAACCAUUAGCAGUUGUUACAGGUUUGGUUUGAUUGGAUGAUAAUCAUUAGGGGUUGUUACAGGUUUGGUUUGAUUGGAUGAUAAACAUUAGCGGUUGUUACAGGUUUGGUUUGAUUGGAUGAUAACCAUUAGCGGUUGUUACAGGUUUGGUUUGAUUGGAUGAUAACCAUUAGCGGUUGUUACAGGUUUGGUUUGAUUGGAUGAUGACCAUUAGCAGUUGUUACAGGUUUGGUUUGAUUGGAUGAUAACCAUUAGCGGUUGUUACAGGUUUGGUGUGAUUGGAUGAUAACCAUUAGCGGUUGUUAGAGGUUUGGUUUGAUUGGAUGGUAACUAUUAGUGGUUGUUGCAGGUUCGGUUUAAUUGGAUGAUAACCAUUAACGGUUGUUACAGGUUUGGUUUGAUUGGAUGAUAACCAUUAGCGGUUGUUACAGGUUUGGUUUGAUUGGAUGGUAACCAUUAGCGGUUGUUACAGGUUUGGUUUGAUUGGAUGAUAACCAUUAGCGGUUGUUACAGGUUUAGUUUGAUUGGAUGAUAACCAUUAGCGGUUGUUACAGGUUUGGUUUGAUUGGAUGAUAACCAUUAGCAGUUGUUACAGGUUUGGUUUGAUUGGUUUAUAACCAUUAGCGGUUGUUAUAGGUUUGGUUUGAUUGGAUGAUAACCAUUAGCGGUUGCUACAGGUUUGGUUUGAUUGGAUAAUAACCAUUAGCAACCGUUGCAGGUUCGGUUUGAUUGGAUGAUAACCAUUAGCGGUUGUUACAGGUUUGGUUUGAUUGGAUGAUAACCAUUAGCGGUUGCUACAGGUUUGGUUUGAUUGGAUAAUAACCAUUAGCAGUUGUUACAGGUUUGGUUUGAUUAGAUGAUAACCAUUAGCGGUUGUUACAGGUUUGGUUUGAUUGGAUGAUAACCAUUAGCGGUAGUUACAGGUUUGGUUUGAUUGGAUGAUAACCAUUAGCAGUUGUUACAGGUUUGGUUUGAUUGGAUGAUAACCAUUAGGGGUUGUUACAGGUUUGGUUUGAUUGGAUGAUAACCAUUAGCGUUGUUACAGGUUUGGUUUGAUUGGAUGAUAACCAUUAGCGGUUUUUACAGGUUUGGUUUGAUUGGAUGAUAACCAUUAGCGGUUGUUACAGGUUUGGUGUGAUUGGAUGAUAACCUUUAGCGGUUGUUAGAGGUUUGGUUUGAUUGGAUGGUAACUAUUAGUGGUUGUUGCAGGUUCGGUUUAAUUGGAUGAUAACCAUUAACGGUUGUUACAGGUUUGGUUUGAUUGGAUGAUAACCAUUAGCGGUUGUUACAGGUUUGGUUUGAUUGGAUGGUAACCAUUAGCGGUUGUUACAGGUUUGGUUUGAUUGGAUGAUAACCAUUAGCGGUUGUUACAGGUUUAGUUUGAUUGGAUGAUAACCAUUAGCGGUUGUUACAGGUUUGGUUUGAUUGGUUUAUAACCAUUAGCGGUUGUUACAGGUUUGGUUUGAUUGGAUGAUAACCAUUAGCGGUUGUAACAGGUUUGGUUUGAUUGGUUUAUAACCAUUAGCGGUUGUUACAGGUUUGGUUUGAUUGGAUAAUAACCAUUAGCAGUUGUUACAGGUUUGGUUUGAUUAGAUGAUAACCAUUAGCGGUUGUUACAGGUUUGGUUUGAUUGGUUUAUAACCAUUAGCGGUUGUUACAGGUUUGGUUUGAUUGGAUGAUAACCAUUAGCAGUUGUUACAGGUUUGGUUUGAUUGGAUGAUAACCAUUAGGGGUUGUUACAGGUUUGGUUUGAUUGGAUGAUAACCAUUAGCGGUUGUUACAGGUUUGGUUUGAUUGGAUGAUAACCAUUAGCGGUUUUUACAGGUUUGGUUUGAUUGGAUGAUAACCAUUAGCGGUUGUUACAGGUUUGGUGUGAUUGGAUGAUAACCUUUAGCGGUUGUUAGAGGUUUGGUUUGAUUGGAUGGUAACUAUUAGUGGUUGUUGCAGGUUCGGUUUAAUUGGAUGAUAACCAUUAACGGUUGUUACAGGUUUGGUUUGAUUGGAUGGUAACCAUUAGCGGUUGUUACAGGUUUGGUUUGAUUGGAUGAUAACCAUUAGCGGUUGUUACAGGUUUAGUUUGAUUGGAUGAUAACCAUUAGAGGUUGUUACAGGUUUGGUUUGAUUGGAUGAUAACCAUUAGCGGUUGUUACAGGUUUGGUUUGAUUGGUUUAUAACCAUUAGCGGUUGUUAUAGGUUUGGUUUGAUUGGAUGAUAACCAUUAGCGGUUGCUACAGGUUUGGUUUGAUUGGAUAAUAACCAUUAGCGGUUGUUGCAGGUUCGGUUUGAUUGGAUGAUAACCAUUAGCGGUUGUUACAGGUUUGGUUUGAUUGGAUAAUAACCAUUAGCAGUUGUUACAGGUUUGGUUUGAUUAGAUGAUAACCAUUAGCGGUUGUUACAGGUUUGGUUUGAUUGGAUGAUAACCAUUAGCGGUAGUUACAGGUUUGGUUUGAUUGGAUGAUAACCAUUAGCAGUUGUUACAGGUUUGGUUUGAUUGGAUGAUAACCAUUAGCAGUUGUUACAGGUUUGGUUUGAUUGGAUGAUAACCAUUAAGGGUUGUUACAGGUUUGGUUUGAUUGGAUGAUAACCAUUAGCGGUUGUUACAGGUUUGGUUUGAUUGGAUGAUAACCAUUAGCGGUUGUUACAGGUUUGAUUGGAUGAUAACCAUUAGCAGUUGUUGCAGUUUCGGUUUAAUUGGAUGAUAACCAUUAGCAGUUGUUACAGGUUUCGUUUGAUUGAAUGAUAACCAUUAGCAGUUGUUACAAGUUUGGUUUGAUUGGUUGAUAGCCAGGGCCGGACUGGGAAAAAAAUUAGGCCCGGCAUUUUUCAAUUAGAGCAGCCCCCCAAGAAGGGGGCGGGGCCAGAGAGGGUGUGUUUUGUCAUCACUAAUGACAAGUACGCCCCUUCUGAAAGUGAGCAUGUUGGUUCAAUGCCCAGAGCCCCGCUGAAGAGCUCUAGCAUUAGAAAAAGGCACUGUAUUUGUUCUGCGCAGCGCAAGCAAAUGUAAUAACAUGCUUGCGCUGUGUUUGCUUUUAAAUUGUCUCUGGUGUCUCCACAAGUGGGAUACCAGAGGAUAAAAGGGCCAGGAAAGUGCAUGGUGCAUGUGUUUGGCGCAUGCUUGUGGGAUUGCCUGUGUGUAGAGUGUGCUGUGGUAUUGUGUAAAUAGGUCAAUUUUGUGGUGUAAUAUGUGUGGCUAGGGGCUGUAGAGAGUGCGUGUGUAGGGGCAUAGUGUUAUAGGGGAUGUAGCGAGUGUUUACAUACGGGCAGUAGUGUGUGUGUAUAGGUGACGUAGUGUGUGUAGGGGUUGUAGAGAGGGUGUGUUUUGAGAAUGUUGUAUGUGUUUGCUUACAAUGAAUGUAGUGUGUGUGUAGGUGGUGCAGUGUGUGUGUGUAAGAGAUCUAGUGUGUAAAGGACCCAGAGUGUGUAUAGAAGAUUGUGUGUGUGUGUGUGUGUGUAGAGGAUUAAGAGUUCAUAUAGGGUAAGGGAUCUAAUGUGUAUCUGGAGCGUAAUGUGUGUAGUGGUGCAGUGUGUGGGGUGCUGUAGUGUGUGUGUAUAUAUAUUUAGAAUAUAUUUGGACUUAUUGUAUGUGUGAGGGGCGCAGUGUGUGUAUGUAAGAGGGGUGCUGUGUGUGAGGGUGUUUUUAUCUGCCGUCACAUUCUAGGUUUCUAAAUUUUCUUUGUCUGUUAACUCACUGAGGGUUAUUUUAUAUUUUAUAUAUAUAUAUAUAUAUAUAUAUAUAUAUGUGUGUGUGCUGUAUAUGUGUGGGAGUGAGGGUGCUGUCUGUCUGAGGGUGCUGUCUGUCUGAGGGUGCUGUCUGUGUCUGAGGGUGUUGUGUGUGUCUGGGGGUGCUGUGUGUGUCUGGGGGCUGUGUGUGUCUGGGGUCUGUUAGGGAAUUUAUUUAAAAUAAUUUUUUUUAUUAAUAAUUUUAAAAAAAAGUUAUGCCCCCCCCCUCCCUUCUUACCUUUAUCCUGGGAGGGGGGGAGGAGAUCUGUUCUGCCUGGGGGGGAGGAGAUCCGAUCUGCCAUCCUUCCCUGGUGGUCCAGUGGUGAGAGUGAACGCUAACCUGCAGGUUAGAGUUCACUCUCGCGAGAUCUGAGCGUUGCCGUGGUAACCGCAGCAACGCUCAGAAUCCCGCAAGAGGACCCGGCGGAGCUGCUGGUUAGGGCUCCGCCGGGUCCUCUCUCCUGCCUCCCUCAUUCACUCCCGCACUUGCGGCCGCAUCUCCAUGCCUCUGGGCCGGUGAGGGAGAUCUUUGAUCUCCCCACCGGCCCAUGGAGGCACACAGCAGGGCUGGCGCUCGGGUAGCGCUGGCCCUGCAGGGGCUGACAGGGGAGAUUCUGUGAUCUCCCCUGUCGGCCUCGGCCCAUGGCCAUCGCGGCCCACCAGGCAUUUGCCCUCCGUGCCCGAUGGCCAGUCCGGGCCUGUUGAUAGCCAUUAGCAGUUGUUAGAGGUUUGGUUUGAUUGGAUGAUAACCAUUAGUAUCUAUUAGAAGUUUGAUUUGAUUAAAAUAGUAACCAUUAGUAAUGGUUACAGUUAUUUCUUUAUUAGGGAUGGAGAUUAGACUUGCACCGUAAGGAAAUUAAGGUCAGCCAAACCAUUUUGGCUUGACAGAAUUUUGGAACUGAGAUUCCAAUUCAGAAACUGAAUCAGUAGAACAGAAGAGUGUGUGAAAAUGGGCCAAUUAGUGUGUUGCAAAAUAUAUACAUAUUGUAAUAUUAUUUAUGUAUUUUGCGGUACACUGAUAGGAUCAUCUGGUUUGGUUGGUGAGAAAAAGUAAGAGACAGAGUAAAAAAUAAGCGGAGCAGUAUAAAAAAUCUUUAUAUUUAUAUAUUCUAUAUUUAUUAAAUUAGAGAUAGAUCUUUUUAAAUGCUCUUUAUUUUUUCCUCUAUUGGUCAUUUCCACCUUGAUCUGUGAAUAAAAUCCACAUUUCGUAGUUGUCUACUAGCCAUUAAUCAGAUUUUUUCCCCCAACAAUCAUCUAAUUUUUUGGCAAUUCAAGUGGAAUGUAGAAUCACCUGCUCACCUAAACAUGCUCAUCAUUGAGUGAAUAGACAGCAAAAUUCAUGGUUCCUUCAAAGACAGCAAGUCUACCAACCCUAAAGGCAGCAGAGCUCCCCACACCGUCACAUUUUCAUUAACCAGAUUGUAAUUUUGGCAUGUUCUUACUGUGACAUGCUAUGUUUGCUUCAUGCCAGGCAAAUUUGUAUGUUCCACUUUUGGUGUGUCUGUCCACAGAUCAUUACCCCAAAAGGCCUGGUGGUCAUUAAUCUGAGAUUUGGGUAAUGUAAAAGGAAUAGUAACAUUUCUCUAAAUUCUACCUUUCAAGUUUCCAUUACGUUUUUACUCAGUUUCUUUCUGAUUAUUAGAUCAGGGUUCAUAGAUUGUGCUGUCCGUUGGAUGUUGUCUUUGGUAUUUUUGUGUUUUUACCGUGAGUCAUUGCUGUGCCGCUGGGGGAGUUUUGGCAGACUGGCCCCUACUGGUAAGAUUCACUACUUUUUCAAGUUAUAUUUAUGUGGAUAUUAUGCCUCUCACUGUGGUUCAUUGAAGUCCCAGAACUUUAGAAAUUGUUUUCUUACCCUUUCCAGAAUGAAAAAUCUCAGCAAUAUUUUCUCUCAUGUAUUUUGGAAUGUAAUUGAGUAUGUAUGGGCUAUUUGUUACAAACCUAUUGCCUAUUUCACAUUAAUGUUACAGUUCUAUGGAGGUCAUAUUCAGAUUCAUCAGGGCUGUCAAGCAUCAAUCUUUGGUGAGUCUACUCUAACUGAAUUAUAAAUUACUUUUGGUUAAUGACUUGAUUGGCCAACUAGUGGUGGCAUUUACUUUUCAUACAGAUGACCAGUUUGUGUAACGUUUGGGGAACCUUUUGCUCUUUUUCUGAAAUAACUUGAAGCAAUUCAAUUCAGUGUGACAAUUAUGCUAAAAUAGAUUUUAUAAAUGAGACAUAUCCAUGUUUUUAUAACACUGUAGAUAGAGGUGAAACGUCUGUGUGUCUAUGUUCGAGUGUAAAGACAUUUUAAAUUUUACAGUGUGACGAACCGAAGCUCGUCAUGGGCUCUUGGAGGUGCCUGAUUGCCAGUCUCCUGCCUCAGGACUAUGGGCCCUGCAAUAUACCUUGCCAAAUUCACUUUAAAAACCUCCGUUCAAAUGAUUUAUGUACUCUUGUACUCCAGUAUGCGAGACCGACAAUUAGCCCAGGUUCCUUAGAAACUGUUUUGGGCAUAGAACCAUGUGCACGGUCGGUCAAAAUUAUGACUUCCAUGGAAAUCCCGAACCCCUGAAUCGAUCUGGGUGAUUUUUGGACAUGUUGGUCCCCCAGAUUGGGGCGAUCAGGGUAUGUGACAUUUGUGGGGUUUCCAUCUGUUUUGGGGGUACUUUCAGGUUAUUGUAAAAUAUGUUUUCUGUGCCUGCAGAUAAUUCAGUUUAGUACAGUUUCUGACUAUUAUCUCUCAGGCACAGGGGAGGGAUUAUUCUGUUUUGUGUGGGAGUGUCCUGGACCUGAGAGCCAAUGUAAUUACAGUGUGUACUUUGUCACAGUCCCCUCUCAGGUCCAGUGGGGAAUGCCCCAGAAUAUGUUAAUGGAAAACCCCUGACAUGGGGACUUGCAUAUAAGGCCAGUUGUGGCUGCCAAUGCAGGAGUUCCUCUUCACCCUCAACAUAGAGCCUCGUCUCAUGAGUGGAGGGAAUAGCUAUAUUCACUCUGGGAAUUGCUAUACUCAUUAUACUCCCUUAGAUUAUAAUCAUUAGUUCUUGUAAGACCUAUCCUGCUUUAAUCUCUGGAUUGGGAGAGGUCUACACACUGGAACCUGGAUCCUGAUCUUGGGUCCAGGGUGGGUGGAGGACAGCGAGACCCCAACCAAGCUGUAACGUUAGCUGUGGGGUUUAUGGUGUUUAUGGUGUCUAGUGGAGUGCUUGGAGUACUCGGUGAGCACUAGGAAGCAUCAAUUGGUGAAGGCACCCAGUCAGGUUGCCAGGUGGUCCAUCACUUACAGCACAUGCAAAUAAUUUGAAUUUUAAUUAUAUUGAACGGCAAAGCAAGUAAAAUAAUUAUACAAAGUGUAGAAUUUAAUGAGAUGAAUUUGUGGCCCAGACGGAUAUAUUGAAUUCACUGGAUAGGUUUGUGAAUAUAAGCUUUACCCAUAAGAUGAGAAAAAACAAUAAAAAAUGAAAAAUCUAAUCUCUUAUUGUGGUGGUGUCUUGAACGAGGACUGGAGAGAUCUAAGACGCUUCCCUUCACAUCUGGGGAGAAAACAGAAUUCAGUAACUUGGAAAUUCAACUCUGAGUGUAGAUACUUUAAAAUAGUUGGCUAUUGCACAGCGAAUCAGUAUGAUUUUGCUAAACCUUUUCAUACAACAGAUAAAGUCGCAUUUAUCUUUAACCAAAAUGUUUUUUAUAGAUUUGGUUAAUACACCUUAAGCACAAUUUGUUUUAUGGAGCUCCUAACUGUAAGACAAAAACUAAAUUGUGAUGAAAAAGUGAAAGGAAUAUAUUUAAAGUGUUGCCUUUAAAUAUUAGAGAUAAGUGGCUUCCAGCAGUUAAGGUAUAGAGUGAUAAGGCUGUUUGUUUUGUUUGGAGCAUUUCAGAAGAGAUUUCAAAAAAAAAAAAAAAAUGAUCCUUUUUAGUCCUGACUUGUUAGUAUUCAUGAACUGAUUAGGUAUGACACAGUUAAAUACACGACCUCCUUUCCAGGGAAGAUAAGGCGGGACGCGCAGAAUAUAAAUCAGUGUAUAUAAAUGACCGCUCGGUUCUUAAUUCGCUUUGCAUAUCUAAUCAUCUGCACAGAGUUCUCUAGGCACCCAAACUACAUUUGCAUUAAACGCCAAUUUGCACUUCGUAAUGUAUAGGACAGGCAUAUCAACAUCAGGAACGAGUGAAUGAGGGAGAUGUGUAGGGCGAGCAAAGGGAUAAAAGGGUGUCGUGUUGGGCAGGAGGGUGGGGAGGGGAAAUCAAACAAGCUGAGGCUAUAAGACAGAGAUGGGAGAUAAAAUGGAAAAAAAAAGAUGUGAGAAUGAUUGAAUGAUACAGGAAUGGUGGAAGGAGGAAGAUAAGAGGGAAGAAUUUGCAAGGAAGGAGAUGCAAGCUGCGAAGGGGAGUAGUAGCAAAGUUUGAGAUGAUAAAUGGAAAAGAAGUGUCUGAAACAGACAGAAGAAAAGUGAGCGGGUAGGUAUAGGAAAGAUGAAAGUGAGAGUAUGUGGUGGAGAUUGGAAGCAAGAAGGAUAAAAUGACAGAGAGAUAAUGGGGAGAUCUGGUAUGAGAGCAAGAGGAAGAAGGUGUGACAGAGCGGUCGUGGUAACCAUAAAUAUGGUAAAAAUGAACAUUAAAACAUUUUUGCAAACUUCUAAUGAAAACCUUAUCUUCAGCAAUCAAAGUCGGAUCAUUGAAUAUUAUAGAUAAUGAGGCAAAAGGAAAAGACAUCUGACUAAGGGAGACAAGGAUAAAUGAUUGAUGGAAGGUUCUAAAAAGUCCCCACCCCCCCACACACAUGCAGACAAACAGAUACACACACAGACACACAUACAAACACAUAUACAGACAUACAGACACAUGCAUACAAACACACACAAACACACAGAGAUCCAUACAUACAGACACACAGAGGCACGUACGUACGUACAUACAGACACACAUACACACAUACACACACACAUACACACAGACAUGUAGGCACACACACAUACAUACAGAUGAAUAUACACACAUACAUACACACAUACACACAUACACACAGAGACACAUUUAGCUGGAUAGACACACAUACAGACACACAUAGACAUACAUACACAAACACGCAGACAUACAGACACACAGACAUACAGACACACACACAUACAGACAGAUAUACAUAAACACACAUAGACAUACACAUACAGACACACACACACACACACAGACAGACACACACACAGAUAUACAGACACACCCAGAUAUACCGAUACAGACAUUCUCUAUCACACACACACACAUACAAACUGUUAAAAUAAUUUAGUGACUUACCUGGGGUCCAGUGGCUGCCUCAUGCUGAGGGAAGUCAGAGCUCCCACUCUGACUCCCUCCUCUCCUCCUAGGUGGCGCUCAGUUGGCUGGGAUUAAGUGACGGCUUCCUCCCAGCUCUGACAUCAUCAAUGGGGCCCGGUCGCACUCUUAAAGCGCCGCAGUGCUGACCGGGCCCCAGGAAAUCCAUUGCCAUCGGGUGGGCCCAAGAGCAUGGGCCACCCAAUGGGCUCCUUCAAUGCAGCUCCGGCGUUUUUUCCGAGCAGUCAGGGCCGCACCAAAAUGCUGGCGGGCACCCUGGUCGCAGCUGCGACCCCUGCGACCGCGGUAGUUCCGCCAGUGGUGAUGACUCAUCAUAACAACUGAAUAACUCAGUAGCCCAAUAGCUUAAAUUAUUUAACCAAUCAUUCACCUUAGUCUAAUUUAAUAAAGUAACAGUGCAGGACACUGAUACAAUAGCAACAUCACCAAUUCAACAAUACAAUUCUGAUCUAGCAGUCCACCAUGCUCCAACAAGUAAUGGCCAACUUACAGCCAAUGGACAUGUGCACGGUAAAACAUGUUUGCUUCUCUCAAAUUUAUUUUGUUUGGAUUUCAAAGAUUUUUUUGGUUCUGGAGAAUUUUUGCAAAAACGUUUAGUUCAAAAGUUAGAAGAAUUUCAACCUAAAUAUUGCCAGGCAAGUUACCCUAAAAUCAAGAAAAAAAAGUUGUCUAUAGUGUCCCACCAACAAGAAAGCAACUCUCAAACAGUAAAUCAGUGAUUCAAAGAUUGUCACGGUGCCAGCUGGGUCUGCUCCUAUCGUAGAGCGGUCUUGGACCCGGUGGGCGCACCUUGUUCAGCUGGAUUCCCACUGGGAAAUGGGAAUGCCGCUUGCUCUUCCUACAUGUCUCCAGCAUGUUCCAUCCGGAGUGUUCCAUAAUUUGAAGUACCCGGAUAGAUAUUUUAAAGGUAAUAAUUGCCUCUCUCUAAGUGCUACACUUUUUAUUCUUUACUAUUUGUUGGUGUUAUUUCGGAAAAGUUACACUUACUGGUGUUUAGUUGCUAUUUAUUUAGAUUCCCUUUGGAAACUCUGCUUUCCUGACCUCGGCCUGCUUUCUUCCAUAUAGUGUUAAGUGCGGCUAUUCUAUGGUCUGGUAACACAUUUUGGAUUCUUUAUUUUAAUUUCUUUGUUACUUACGUUCUGCAUGUUGGGCAUUUAAUGUAUCGUGACAAAGAUGGUGAAAGGCAGUGGUUACUAACAAAUUUCACUGCCAUCCGAAGUCUGUAUCAACCAAAACGGCUAGGAUGUCAUGCUAUUCACUUUAUUCAGAAUCUGGAUUUCAGAAAUUCGAACUGACACCCAACUGAACCGAAUCUACAAGUGAUUUUACUGGGCGAAAACAGCCCUAAAACUCAAUUUACUUAAUUAGCAGGACACAGAGCACAAAGUUCUAGCCCCAGAUUCCACUGUCCUCUCCAAUCAGCCCAGUGUGAACAUCUUUCCUAUCUCCAGUCAAUAAAGCGUGGGGUGCCCCCAAGGAGAAUUCCUAGACAUAUUAUAACAUAUUAUAACUGCUACUGUUCUACUUAAUGCAUCUCCAUUUCACUUUACCUUUCCAUUCCUUCUCGGGCUGGCAUUAAGUUCAAUAAAACAUGUUAUAUACACUGUAUGAAUUAUUUUAUGUUUCCCUGCUUUUAAACCAAGUGAGAAGCAGAGACGGCUUUCUCCGAUCCCAGGGGAGACGAAGGCCUGGAGUUUUAUGCUAAUAUAAUUGUUUGUGGGUGUUUGGAAAGCUAAAGUGAUGUUCCCACAGCAGAAUCCAGGAGUCAAACAAGCAGAUACAAAAUGUUCUUCAAUGCAGGAAACUCCUUCGCUGCCAGAAUGAGGGCUGUCAAAAUAAUAUCCAUAUUUAAUGCAGACGCUACAAUAACUGCAAAAUGCGGAGAGAGAGAACAGAUAGAGAGCAAGUGUCUCUUCCAUCGUGCAGCCAGAGAUAAGCGUUAUUAUAUCUUCUCUGUCUUCCAUUGUGGAAAGUCAUGCCAGUCUGGAGAACGUCUUUAUUAAUCGUGGCAUUUCUCGGGUGUCUUUGUUUUUCUUUCUUUGUAAAUGUAGAACUGUCUGAGCAUUUCAGGAUUCCAAAUUAGAACUAGAAUUAGCCAAUGGGUGUUGAGCAGCAGACAGAUGUGUUUCUGAUUGGCUGCAUAGUGCUCCUUGAUUUGUGUAUUUCUCAGCACUCUGCUUCAUCAAUAAAAUAAUUUAAUGCGCACUAUAGUCACUGUAACAGCUUCCUCUCAUCGCAGUGGUUAUAGUGUCUGGAAUCCUGUUGCGCUGCCCUUCCAUUCAGCAUUCAAUCAUUUUUAAUCUUUUAAUGCUAAAUAAGAGUCCACAGAAGCCCAUAACCAAUGUGCUUCUCGGACUAUUGGUGGCCAAAGACCCGUAUUUAGUGUUAAGCUCCUCGAAAAAUGUUUUCACAGUGAAAGGGUGGACUAAAAGCACUAUAACUACUUCAAUGAGAUAAAAUGGUUAUAGUACCUACAAUGUCCCUUUAAAGCGACACUCCAGGUUCCCACACACGUUAGAUACACUGUGUAGGUUAGGUUACAGUUAGUUAUACUGGGUGGGUUUAUAUUAUUAAAGGGACACUCCAGGCUCCCACACACGUUAGAUGCACUGUGUAGGUUAGGUUACAGUUAGUUAUACUGGGUGGGUUUAUAUUAUUAAAGGGACACUCCAGGUUCCCACACACGUUAGAUGCACUGUGUAGGUUAGGUUACAGUUAGUUAUACUGGGAGGGUUUAUAUUAUUAAAGGGACACUCCAGGUUCCCACACACGUUAGAUGCACUGUGUAGGUUAGGUUACAGUUAUACUGGGUGGGUUUAUAUUAUUAAAGGGACACUCCAGGCUCCCACACACGUUAGAUGCACUGUGUAGGUUAGGUUACAGUUAGUUAUACUGGGUGGGUUUAUAUUAUUAAAGGGACACUCCAUGCUCCCACGCACGUUAGAUGCACUGUGUAGGUUAGGUUACAGUUAGUUAUACUGGGUGGGUUUAUAUUAUUAAAGGGACACUCCAGGCUCCCACACACGUUAGAUGCACUGUGUAGGUUAGGUUACAGUUAGUUAUACUGGGUGGGUUUAUAUUAUUAAAGGGACACUCCAGGCUCCCACACACGUUAGAUGCACUGUGUAGGAUAGGUUACAGUUAGUUAUACUGGGUGGGUUUAUAUUAUUAAAGGGACACUCCAGGCUCCCACACACGUUAGAUGCACUGUGUAGGUUAGGUUACAGUUAGUUAUAAUGGGUAGGUUUAUAUUAUUAAAGGGACACUCCAGGCUCCCACACACGUUAGGUGCACUGUGUAGGUUAGGUUACAGUUAGUUAUACCGGGUGGGUUUAUAUUAUUAAAGGGACACUUCAGGCUCCCACACACGUUAGAUGCACUGUGUAGGUUAGGUUACAGUUAGUUAUACCGGGUGGGUUUAUAUUAUUAAAGGGACACUCCAGGCUCCCACACACAUUAGGUGCACUGUGUAGGUUAGGUUACAGUUAGUUAUACCGGGUGGGUUUAUAUUAUUAAAGGGACACUCCAGGCUCCCACACACGUUAGAUGCACUGUGUAGUUUAGGUUACAGUUAGUUAUACUGGGUGGGUUUAUAUUAUUAAAGGGACACUCCAGGCUCCCACACACGUUAGGAUGCACUGUGUAGGUUAGGUUACAGUUAGUUAUACUGGGUGGGUUUAUAUUAUUAAAGGGACACUCCAGGCUCCCACACACGUUAGGUGCACUGUGUAGGUUAGGUUACAGUUAGUUAUACUGGGUGGGUUUAUAUUAUUAAAGGGACACUCCAGGCUCCCACACACGUUAGGUGCACUGUGUAGGUUAGGUUACAGUUAGUUAUACUGGGUGGGUUUAUAUUAUUAAAGGGACACUCCAGGCUCCCACACACAUUAGAUGCACUGUGUAGUUUAGGUUACAGUUAGUUAUACUGGGUGGGUUUAUAUUAUUAAAGGACACUCCAGGCUCCCACACACGUUAGGUGCACUGUGUAGGUUAGGUUACAGUUAGUUAUACUGGGUGGGUUUAUAUUAUUAAAGGGACACUCCAGGCUCCCACACACGUUAGAUGCACUGUGUAGGUUAGGUUACAGUUAGUUAUACUGGGUGGGUUUAUAUUAUUAAAGGGACACUCCAGGCUCCCACACACGUUAGAUGCACUGUGUAGGUUAGGUUACAGUUAGUUAUACUGGGUGGGUUUAUAUUAUUAAAGGGACACUCCAGGCUCCCACACACGUUAGAUGCACUGUGUAGAUUAUGGUUACAGUUAGUUAUACUGGAUGGGUUUAUAUUAUUAAAGGGACACUCCAGGCUCCCACACGUUAGGUGCACUGUGUAGGUCAGGUUACAGUUAUACUGGGUGGGUUUAUAUUAUUAAAGGGAUACUCCAGGCUCCCACACAUGUUAGAUGCACUGUGUAGGUUAGGUUACGGUUAUACUGGGUGGGUUUAUAUUAUUAAGGGACACUCCAGGCUCCCACACACGUUAGAUGCACUGUGUAGGUUAGGUUACAGUUAGUUAUACUGGGUGGGUUUAUAUUAUUAAAGGGACACUCCAGGCUUCCACACACGUUAGAUGCACUGUGUAGGUUAGGUUACAGUUAGUUAUACUGGAUGGGUUUAUAUUAUUAAAGGGACACUCCAGGCUCCCACACACGUUAGGUGCACUGUGUAGGUUAGGUUACAGUUAGUUAUACUGGGUGGGUUUAUAUUAUUAAAGGGACACUCCAGGCUCCCACACACAUUAGAUGCACUGUGUAGGUUAGGUUACAGUUAGUUAUACGGGGUGGGUUUAUAUUAUUAAGGGACACUCCAGGCUCCCACACACGUUAGAUGCACUGUGUAGGUUAGGUUACAGUUAGUAUACUGGGUGGGUUUAUAUUAUUAAAGGACACUCCAGGCUCCCACACACGUUAGAUGCACUGUGUAGGUUAGGUUACAGUUAGUUUUACUGGGUGGGUUUAUAUUAUUAAAGGGACACUCCAGGCUCCCACACACGUUAGGUGCACUGUGUAGGUUAGGUUACAGUUAGUUAUACUGGUUGGGUUUAUAUUAUUAAAGGGACACUCCAGGCUCCCACACACAUUAGAUGCACUGUGUAGUUUAGGUUACAGUUAGUUAUACUGGGUGGGUUUAUAUUAUUAAAGGACACUCCAGGCUCCCACACACGUUAGGUGCACUGUGUAGGUUAGGUUACAGUUAGUUAUACUGGGUGGGUUUAUAUUAUUAAAGCGACACUCCAGGCUUCCACACACGAUAGAUGCACUGUGUAGGUUAGGUUACAGUUAGUUAUACUGGGUGGGUUUAUAUUAUUAAAGGGACACUCCAGGCUCCCAUACUCGUUAGAUGCACUGUGUAGGUUAGGUUACAGUUAGUUAUACUGGGUGGGUUUAUAUUAUUAAAGGGACACUCCAGGCUCCCACACACGUUAGAUGCACUGUGUAGAUUAGGUUACAGUUAGUUAUACUGGAUGGGUUUAUAUUAUUAAAGGGACACUCCAGGCUCCCACACACGUUAGGUGCACUGUGUAGGUUAGGUUACAGUUAUACUGGGUGGGUUUAUAUUAUUAAAGGGACACUCCAGGCUCCCACACACGUUAGAUGCACUGUGUAGGUUAAGUUACGGUUAUACUGGGUGGGUUUAUAUUAUUAAAGGGACACUCCAGGCUCCCACACACGAUAGAUGCACUGUGUAGGUUAGGUUACAGUUAGUUAUACUGGGUGGGUUUAUAUUAUUAAAGGGACACUCCAGGCUUCCACACACGAUAGAUGCACUGUGUAGGUUAGGUUACAGUUAGUUAUACUGGAUGGGUUUAUAUUAUUAAAGGGACACUCCAGGCUCCCACACACGUUAGGUGCACUGUGUAGGUUAGGUUACAGUUAGUUAUACUGGGUGGGUUUAUAUUUAUAAAGGGACACUCCAGGCUCCCACACACAUUAGAUGCACUGUGUAGGUUAGGUUACAGUUAGUUAUACGGGGUGGGUUUAUAUUAUUAGAGGGACACUCCAGGCUCCCACACACGUUAGAUGCACUGUGUAGGAUAGGUUACAGUUAGCUAUACUGGGUGGGUUUAUAUUAUUAAAGGACACUCCAGGCUCCCACACACGUUAGAUGCACUGUGUAGUUUAGGUUACAGUUAGUUAUACUGGGUGGGUUUAUAUUAUUAAAGGGACACUCCAGGCUCCCACACACGUUAGAUGCACUGUGUAGGUUAGGUUACAGUUAGUUAUAAUGGGUGGGUUUAUAUUAUUAAAGGGACACUCCAGGCUCCCACACACGUUAGAUGCACUGUGUAGGUUAGGUUACAGUUAGUUAUACUGGGUGGGUUUAUAUUAUUAAAGGGACACUCCAGGCUCCCACACACGUUAGAUGCACUGUGUAGGUUGGGUUACAGUUAGUUAUACUGGGUGGGUUUAUAUUAUUAAUGGGACACUCCAGGCUCCCACACACGUUAGAUGCACUGUGUAGGUUGGGUUACAGUUAGUUAUACUGGGUGGGUUUAUAUUAUUAAAGGGACACUCCAGGCUCCCACACACGUUAGAUGCACUGUGUAGGUUAGGUUACAGUUAGUUAUACUGGGUGGGUUUAUAUUAUUAAGGGGACACUCCAGGCUCCCACACACGUUAGGUGCACUGUGUAGGUUAGGUUACAGUUAUACUGGGUGGGUUUAUAUUAUUAAAUGGACACUCCAGGCUCCCACACACGUUAGGUGCACUGUGUAGGUUAGGUUACAGUUAGUUAUACCGGGUGGGUUUAUAUUAUUAAAGGGACACUCCAGGCUCCCACACACGUUAGAUGCACUGUGAAGGAUAGGUUACAGUUAGCUAUACUGGGUGGGUUUAUAUUAUUAAAGGGACACUCCAGGCUCCCACACACGUUAGGUGCACUGUGUAGGUUAGGUUACACUGUGUAGGUUAGGUGGAUUUAUAUUAUUAAAGGGACACUCCAGGCUCCCACACACGUUAGAUGCACUGUGUAGGUUAGGUUACAGUUAUACUGGGUGGGUUUAUAUUAUUAAAGGGACACUUCAGGCUCCCACACACGUUAGGUGCACUGUGUAGGUUAGGUUACAGUUAUAUUGGGUGGGUUUUAAUUAUUAAUGGGACACUUCAGGCUCCCACACAUAUUAGAUGCACUGUGUAGGUUAGGUUACAGUUAUACUGGGUGGGUUUAUAUUAUUAAAGGUACACUCCAGGUUCCUACACACGUUAGAUGCACUGUGUAGGUUAGGUUACAGUUAGUUAUACUGGGUGGGUUUAUAUUAUUACAUGGACACUCCAGGCUCCCACACACGUUAGAUGCACUGUGUAGGUUAGGUUACAGUUAGUUAUACUGGGUGGGUUUAUAUUAUUAAUGGGACACUCCAGGCUCCCACACACGAUAGAUGCACUGUGUAGGUUAGGUUACAGUUCGUUAUACUGGGUGGGUUUAUAUUAUUAAAGGGACACUCCAGGCUCCCACACACGUUAGAUGCACUGUGUAGGUUAGGUUACAGUUAGUUAUACUUGGUGAGUUUAUAUUAUUAAAGGGACACUCCAGGCUCCCACACACGUUAGGUACACUGUGUAGGUUAGGUUACAGUUAGUUAUACUGGGUGGGAGGAAGGAGAGGAGAGGAGGCAGUCAGAGUAGGAACUCUGACUCCCAUCAGCCUGAGCCACCACUGGACCCCAGGGACACCAACCUCCUUCAUCUAAAAUUUAGGGAACAGGAGGGUGACUUAUGUGUGUGUGUGUAUGUCUCUGUAUGUGUGUGUGUUAGUGUGUCUGUAUGUAUGUGUGUAUGGCUCUGUAUUUAUGUAUGUCUCUGUAUGUAUGUGUGUCUCUGUAUCUCUGUGUGUGUGUGUGUAUGUCUCUGUAUGUGUGUGUGUCUCUGUGUGUAAGUGUUUGUGUAUCUGCACGUGUGUCUGCAUGUAUAUAUGUAUCUUUGUGUUUCUGCAUUUGCAUGUGUGUGUAUCUGUAUGUGUUAUAUGGUGUGUAUCUGCAUGUAUGUCAGUGUGUGUUCGUAUAUCUGCAUGUGUGUCAGUUUAUGCAGGGGUUUGUCUGUGUACAUGUCACCCCACCACACACUGCCACCCCCUUCAAACUGCCACACUCACAAUAACUCCACCAAUCCUUUCACUCACCCAUGCCAUACUCACCACCCAUUGCUCUGCCAUAUCCACCCCAUUACACUCACCUUCUCUCACACUGUCACACUCACCCCCUCAAUCCUUUCACUCACCCAUGCCAUACUCACCACCCAUUGCUCUGCCAUAUCCACCCCAUUACACUCACCUUCUCUCACACUGUCACACUCACCCCCCCAAUCCUUUCACUCACCCAUGCCAUACUCACCACCCAUUGCUCUGCCAUAUCCACCCCAUUACACUCACCUUCUCUCACACUGUCACACUCACCCCCCCAAUCCUAUCACUCACCCAUGCCAUACUCAUCACCCAUUGCUCUGCCAUAUUCACCCCAUUACACUCGCCUUUUCUCACACUGUCACACUAACCCUGCCAAUCCUGUCACACACUUUCUCCAUCACUUUGUCACACUCGCCCCCUUUCACCCUGCCACACUCACCCUAUCUCAUUAACCGCUCCAUUUCUCUCAUACUCAACCCCUGAACCAUGCCACACCAACCCUGUGGGUUGUGAAUGAGACGCAUGGAAGGGCUAAGGGGCUGGGGGGAGGGUUAGACGUAUAGGGGGGGCCCAGGGUAAUUUUUGCACCUGGGCCCUAUGGUUUCUAGUUAUGCCUCUGCUCGUGUUAUACCUUCUGGGACAGAGAAAGAGGUGGAUGUAGUGAGUAGCAGAGAGGGGACAUGGUACAUUGUACACAGUGCGCAAAGUCAGCUUUACGGCAACUAUUUUAUAGCCAGUCCACAAAAGCUUUGUUUUCCUACAUCCCUCCUAAGGGCAUGUGAAGUAUAGUGGUUUUGGGGGGAUUAAUGUGCCAAUUCCAUGGGCGUUCGGCUUAGAGCUGCAGCAUCGUUAGUCCCUAUGUCAUGUUAAUUUGACCUUAAACAAUAAUGCAAAUUAUAAAGAUGAUUGAAAAAUGUAAACAGUUUGUCAAUAUACUUAUCUGCUAACAAUGACUCUAUUAUUUCACAAACCUAUAGCCAUUAAUGCCAUAUUAACAGUGUCUGAAUAUCAUGGGAUUCCCUGUCUGCACUCCCAGAAUCUUUACCAAUCCUGUGACUAUAUUGGCUACAAUCUCCUUUCUAAAAUAACCGUAUUUUGCAUAUUUGGAACACUUUUAUGUAAUAUACCUGGGAAGGAAUGGGUUACUAUGCAGAGUAUUUUAUUUCAAGCUUCUUACGGUAACAGAUAAAAUACAUGGUUAUUAAUAUUGAAAAGGACAUUAGCGUAUUUUUAUGAGUUGAGACUCGUGGGACGCAUUGGGUUAAAUAAUGCAAUAACGGAAUUCUCGAACAGCCGUUAAAGGGACAGUAAUGUUUAGUUUAUUGUCAAUAAUACUUAAGAGAUAUGUCUUGUAAAGUAUAACGUGCGUGCCCAAAUAUUGGCGAUGAGUGGGAGCUCUCUCAAGGCAACUUAUUGCCAAUUCUUUUGAAACCAUUUUGUUUAAUGCAGGCUGUGUCAGUCACAGCCAGGGGAGGUAUGGCCAGGGCUGCAUUAACAGAAACAAGAGUGAGACUGCAGGGCCUGAUCUAUACACCAAAACUCUCUAUUAAGAUAACGUUGUUUUGGUGCUUCGAGUGCCCUUUAAGGUCAAGGAUUACAACAAAAACAAAGAAUAUGAGACUCUGAGAAUAGACAAAAGCUUAGAGAAACUCAGUAGCUUGUCCGCCGGUAAAAAUAUAGGUUUUCGUUCAGAUGGCAUAUUUCAUAGUGGGUAUCAUCAGCAAUAUUCUAUGUACCAUCAUACUUCAUGUUAAUAGCUGUCUAUACCUUUUGUGAAUAAUUUUCAAAUUUGUGUAACCUUUUUUUAUCAUAGAGAGACAGACAAAAAUAAAUGUCCAAUAAGAGCGGGCAUUUUGGGCACAGGGCAUCAUCAUUAAAUCAUAGUUGUGAGGUGACGGCUGUCCGUUAAGCUGAAUGAACUGUACCGUGCCAAGAUGGAAUGAUAGACAGUUAUACACAAAAAUCUAUAGAAUGGUGAUUUAUUAAUAAAAUACGUUUUGUAAAUGUCAGUUUACAGGUAACAUUUUUGACAAAAUAUUGAUGAUAGAAACGUAUCCUCUGUGCAACCAGAAUAGGUAACUACAGCACUCAAUCCUUGCCGCAAAGUUCAAUUGAUCACACGUAGAGUUCAUUGUAUCUCAGACCCCGAAGACAAGUUCUGGCUAGUGUACGAUUUAUUGAUGACAUUGUAUUACUUAUCUUAAGCAUGGUUAAAUACAACAGAAAACAAACCAAUACUAUCACCACAAUCACGUGUGAAUAGUGUGAAAUAAGUAUGCAAUAUACUUAUCAGGUAAAUCAAGUGGGCAGCCUCCCAGGUAGUGAUCUUUAGACCAGAGUACAAGCAAAACACAUAUGGGAUACGGCUGUGGAAUCUAAAAAGAACACAGACAAAAGAGAGGUCUCUGGGGAAGUUACAAGUGUUGGACGAAACGCGUAAGACCACAACUACUGCUGUUUUACCAAUUUUAUUUGAUUUAUAAUAAAAGCUGUUAUUUUAUACUACCAUCCGGAGUCCUGAUUUCCUGUAGCCCCAUGUAGCGAAAGCGCAGCUAAGUGGAAAGGGCCCUUGACAGGGCUCGGAGGAAGCAUGUAGGGAUUGAUGGUUUGGGGGUUGGGCUAUAUAAAUAGGCAGCCAUCUUAGCAAAGUCACUUUAUACUUGCCUACCUGGCUGAGUUUGUCCCACGGAGGGAUAGGGAGCUGAAGGAGAGGAAAUAGGCUCCCCAUGAGGGUGGUUAAUGGAAAUGGUUGAAUAUGGUUAUUGGUAAGUUUGGUAGGUUUCGAGCCCUGUCGGUGGCUCAGAACCUGGUGGGGUAGGGGUAUCCGGGUAUACCCCUACCAUGAUUAAUUAACAAUGUUGGCAUUUUAAGUUAUGUUCAUAUUUGAAUACUGUUAUAUGUUAUUUAUUUAUAUAUAGGCGUCAUUGCCUUUUAUAUCUAACUGAAGGAUACGGAUGUGAUGGCGGGGUGUGGGGCAAUGACCUGUUUUUUCUAUGUUAAUUUAUUAUUACUAUUUAAUAAAAGCUGGAGACAAUUUUGCCCCAUAUAGCCUAAUGUCUUUGUUUUAUUGGGAUAGGGAUGUGGGGGUUUUGUCCUGAUAUCAUCUGCCCAUAUGGUGACUAUAGCCCCCCAAUUACAUCGGGGGAGGCACCCUUUGAGCGCAUAAUACGUCUACAUCUUGUGAGUGCAUUUUUGUACAGCGCACAUUAUUUGUUAAAAUUGGAUUACACUAUGUUUUGUCUGUCUUCUUUUUAUGGGUUUCGCUUGUUAGCUAAAGCAUGCAUUGUCACUGACACAUUUGUAGUUGACUUUAUAUACUGAUAAACACUUAUUUAACAACUUAAUUUACUGCAACCACUUAUAGGUCUACAGAAGAAAGAAACAUUAAGUAGAUUUUAUUAUUAGUUUAUUAGCUUGUGUUUUCCUUUUGGGGGGCUUACCCUUUGUCCUGACCUAAAGACACCCUUUUUUAUACACACUUAAACAAACACACAUAUUCAUAUACGCACACACCAACAAACACACAUAUUCAUAUACGCACACACCAACAAAUACACAUAUUCAUAUAUGCACACACCAACAAACACACAUGCAGUCUUAUACACGCACACACCAACAAACACGCAUAUUCAUAUACGCACACACAAACAAACACACACAUAUUCAUAUACGCACACACCAACAAACACACAUAUUCAUAUACGCACACACCAACAAACACGCAUAUUUAUAUACGCACACACCAACAAACACGCAUAUUCAUAUACGCACACACCAACAAACACACAUAUUCAUAUACGCAUACACCAACAAACACUCAUAUUCAUAUACGCACACACCAACAAACACACAUAUUCAUAUACGCACACACCAACAAACACACAUAUUCAUAUACGCACACACCAACAAACACGCAUAUUCAUAUACGCACACACCAACAAACACGCAUAUUCAUAUACGCACACACCAACAAAUACACAUGCACUCUUAUACACGCACACACCAACAAACACGCAUAUUCAUAUACGCACACACCAACAAACACACAUGCACUCUAUACACGCACACACCAACAAACACACACACAACACGCAUAUUCAUAUACGCACACACCAACAAACACAUAUUCAUAUACGCACACACCAACAAACACGCAUAUUCAUAUACGCACACACCAACAAACACGCAUAUUCAUAUACGCACACACCAACAAAUACACAUGCACUCUUAUACACGCACACACCAACAAACACACAUAUUCAUAUACGCACACACCAACAAAUACACAUGCACUCUUAUACACGCACACACCAACAAACACACAUAUUCAUAUACGCACACACCAACAAAUACACAUGCACUCUUAUACACGCACACACCGCCAGUCUGUACACAUAAAUUGCUUUUACCUGUCCUUAUCCCAAAAAGCAGAUCAUGAUAUAUAUCGUCAGGGCACACCAGGUUCCAACGUAGAUUUAUUGCCAUAAACUCGAAAUUUCUAGCUUGGAACAUCUUGGAUCACAGAUAGAAUGGUCUCAGUAAAGAUUACCAACUUAUCUUUCCAUUCCAGGGAAGGGACUGUAAUUGCCACAAGUCAGCAGGAGUAGAUAAUAAUGGGGGGAGGGGGGGUGGGCGGGGGGCGCUGCAAGAUUAUGGCCCGCAGAAAUGCGCUAUAAACAAGCUUGUUGUUGUAUCAUUACUAAGGAGACUUAAGAAAAGAAACAUUGCGCGUUUACAUUUGACCUUCCCCAACCUUUCUGAAUGCAUUGUGUAAGUGCCCCUUAUUAAAACCGGAAUUUGGGAAACUAAAAUCCCAUUAAACAAAAUAAAGAAAUAGACGUUUCUCUUCUCUAGUGUUUGAGAACAAAGUGGACUUUUUAAGAUGAAUGGUUAUUUUUUUUUAUAUUGAACAGCCCUCCAGAGACCCACGGCCUCAUCUGCUGUGUGAAGUUUUGUGUUUUUAUUUUGAAAUUGAUGUAAAUUCUCUAAUACCUUCUAAACUUAGCUGGUUUAUUCACCAGCGAAUCGUGGCGAAUUGCAAAUAAUAAAGAGAACUAGCUGUAAUGGUAGCAUUUACCAUCAGAUUUCCCUCUCCUAAAAUGUGAUUAUUUUUUUUUACCAAUCUCCCGCCAUUCAUGUUUAGCGAAUAAACUAUUAUGUGAAAAUUGGUGUUUUUAGCAGCAGGCGCAGGGACUGGCACAGAUAGACAUAUUGAGAAAUAAUCUGAGAGGCCUCCAUUUUGCAAAGUCUUGACAGGCGCAUAGUCACCAUAUGGACAGGUGGAAUUACCCCCAAAACUUACCCCAAAAACACACUGACACUGAUGUAUGGGUCAAUAUGUCCACAGCUUUAUUAAUGUUGAUAACAAUAAAUUAAAGUCAUUGCCCAGCCCCCAUUACGCCAUAUAACAUCAUAUGUCCCCGAAACAAAAGGCAAUGACCCAUUCUUUCUGUAAAUAUAAAUAACAUCAACGACCUUAAUAACAAACAUCAUAAACAUAAUAUAAGUGCCAAACUUAGUUAAAUAACCAUGGUAGGGACAUACCCAGACACCUCUACCACCCACCAGAAUCUGAGCCACCACCGAGCUCGAAACCUACCAAAGUUCAUAACGAACCGUUUAACCAGACUCUUCACCAGCAGCCUAACUGCCCUAUUCUAUUUACACUACCCCAGAGUCGGUUUGUCCCCUAAUGUUUCUCUCUCUAGCCCUGCCGCUGUGACCAAACGGGAGCUAACACCCCUUACCCUUUACAUGGGAGAGUGGGAGGGACAAUUUAGGCCAGGUAAGCAGAUUAAAAGUGCUUGUCACUACAAUGGUGUCCUAUUUAUACUGGGCCAAGCCCUUUUUACACUCUCACUCCACUCCCACAAGGGGCCUUCCUCCUAUGCCCGCCUCCUAGCUCUGUCAAGCCCCUUUCCACUAAGCUGCGCUUGUUCCAUAGGGUUGGGUUACAUUGUUGUUUUGCAAUAAUCAAUGUAUCAGAUUUUGCAAAGUCUAGCCUAGAAUUCUUUGUGUGAUCCUGCGUAUUGUAGGAAAGCUAGUGAGUCUUGGAAUUUGUUUGGGGAGAUUGAAUACUUCACGUGGAUUAAUAAUAAAUUCUGGAGAGUAAGACAAACUGUUACAAAUAACAUUUUAGUAUUUUACAAGAAAUUCUGUUUUUAUGGAUAAAAUCAUAUUUAUUAAAAUGUGCACCAUGUUAAUUUGCAAACCUACCAACACUUUACAUGGGCAUAGAGGGACGUUUUCAUUUUAGUGGUGUGCGGGUAAGGGUGUGGCCAGGGGCGGUCUGUUCUGGCUGUGAGUGGGUGUGUGGCCAGGGGCGGUCUGUUCUGGCUGUGGGUGGGUGUGUGGCCAGGGGCGGUCUGUUCUGGCUGUGAGUGGGUUUGUGGCCAGGGGCAGUCUGUUCUGGCUGUGAGUGGGUGUGUGGCCAGGGGUGGUCUGUUCUGGCUGUGAGUGAGUGUGUGGCCAGGGGCGGUCUGUUCUGGCAGUAAGUGGCUGUGGCCAGGGGGCAGGGCAGUCUGUUCUGGCUGUGAGUGGGUGUGUGGCCAGGGGCGGUCUGUUCUGGCUGUGAGUGAGUGUGUGGCCAGGGGCGGUCUUUUCUGGCUGUGAGUGAGUGUGUGGCCAGGGGCGGUCUGUUCUGGCUGUGAGUGAGUGUGUGGCCAGGGGUGGUCUGUUCUGGCUGCGAGUGAGUGUUGCCAGGGGUGGUCUGUUCUGGCUGUGAGUGGGUGUGUGGCCGGGGACAGUCUGUUCUGGCUGUGAGUAUUAUAUUACUGGGAGUAUUAUUGCUGUGGAGCUCUGUUAUACACACAGACACAUUACUGGGAGUAUUAUUACUGUGGAGCUAUGUUAUACACACAGACACAUUACUGGGAGUAUUAUUGCUGUGGAGCUUCGUUAUUCACUCAGACACAUUACUGGGAGUAUUAUUGCUGUGGAGCUCUGUUAUACACUCAGACACAUUACUGGGAGUAUUAUUGCUGUGGAGCUCUGUUAUACAUUCAGACACAUUACUGGGUGUAUUAUUGCUGUGGAGCUCUGUUACACACUCAGACACAUUACUGGGAGUAUUAUUGCUGUGGAGCUUCGUUAUACACUCAGACACAUUACUGGGAGUAUUAUUGCUGUGGAGCUCUGUUAUACACUCAGACACAUUACUGGGAGUAUUAUUGCUGUGGAGCUCUGUUAUACACUCAGACACAUUACUGGGAGUAUUAUUGCUGUGGAGCUCUGUUAUUCACUCAGACACAUUACUGGAAGUGUUAUUGCUGUGGGGCUCUGUUAUACACUCAGACACAUUACUGGGAGUAUUAUUGCUGUGGAGCUCUGUUAUACACUCAGACACAUUACUGGGAGUAUUAUUGCUGUGGAGCUCUGUUAUACACUCAGACACAUUACUGGGAGUAUUAUUGCUGUGGAGCUCUGUUAUACACUCAGACACAUUACUGGGAGUAUUAUUGCUGUGGGGCUCUGUUAUACACUCAGGCACAUUACUGGGAGUAUUAUUGCUGUGGAGCUCUGUUAUACACUCAGACACAUUACUGGGAGUAUUAUUGCUGGGGAGCUCUGUGAUACACUCCAACAAUGUGAAGCCCCUAGAAAAGAGGGACAUUAGGAGAGAAAAGAGGGACAGAAAGACUUGGGCUCAAAAUAGGGACUGUCCCUCCUGUAUAGGGACACUUAGAGGGAUGGCAUUGUUCUGACAGCAGCACAUUUUACUCCGAUAUCUUUGUGGUUCAGUUUGCUCAUUUCACUUACUGGCUUUGGAAUCUGCCUAUUGAGAGCUGGUAAAUGUGACUUUUAGAGGAAUUUGUACAAUGCAUUGAUUUUAUGAUGAGCGUUAAAUAAAACUAUUUUUUUGUUUUGCAGAUAGAUUUGUGACCCCAGCCCUUUUGAUUGCAAUGAGAUUGAGCCUCCUGGCCUAAUAUUACCUCACUGCUAGAAUUAGAGUCAAUUAAUUACAGUAUCCCUUAGAAACCGCGGGAAUUACUAACUGAUGCUCUUAAUUCCAGCCAUUAAAUACCCAAGAGUAUCUGCAAAGAGAAAACACGGGGAUACGUGCAAGCCUCGCGUUAUAAGCCAGCCGCACUAAUUCACACACUUUACCAUCAUGCUUUGCUUAUGUGUAAAUACAAUGGGCAUCCGGAUAUAUAAAAAAAUCAAUAUUAUGGAAGGGGCAGAGGGAGAAUUUGGCCGGUAUUAAACAUUGCACGUGUUGGACAGAGGUUAAUGUCUGAGCUUUCACUGCAACUAUUUAACUAAAAAUAUCUGACGGUAAAUUACAAGAGGCUACUUGUUUAUGUCUCUAGAAUUGUGGGCUGUGAUGCAAAUGUAAUGAUAUAUCUAUAAAACGAUGUACCGUAUAUACUCGAGUAUAAGCCGACCCGAAUAUAAGUCGAGGCCCCUAAUUUUACCCCAAAAAACUGGGAAAAUGUAUUGACUCGAGUAUAAGACUAGGGUGGGAAAUGCAGCAGCUACUGGUAAAUUUCUAAAUAAAAUUAGAUCCUAAAAAAAUUAUAUUAAUUGAAUAUUUAUUUACAGUGUGUGUAUAUGAUGAAUGCAGUGUGUGUAUGAAUGCAGUGUGUGUAUGAGUGCGCAGUGUGUGUAUGAAUGCAGUGUGUGUAUAAAUGCAGUGUGUGUAUGAAUGCAGUGUGGACAAAAAAGUAAAUCUAUACUGUAUGAAAUACUAGUAUAGAUUAAAGGGGUAGCACAAAACAUACAACCUGUAGAUAAUACAAAAACCUCCUUCACAAGAUCUAAAAUAUAAGAAAAAUCACAUAAUAGUGAAGCAUGUACGAACAAUAUAUAAUUCACUCCCGGAGGUAGAGAACUUACAGGACCAAACUGUGGAUCUGUGCUUGUCUCCCUUCCGUAGGGUAUAUGAAUAACGAUUCUUCUCUCAGGAAGCUUGUAUAUACGGACCAAAGGUGUGGAUACAAGACACUCAAUCCUCAAAAGGAAAAGAGGUAUAUAGAGCAGUAUUGUAGAUAAAAAAUAAUUUAUUAAUACAAAUUGCACUUACAUCAAGUGAAGCUCAUAGCAGCAUGUCACCACUAGCAAGUGGUACCCAGGAGAAGGAAUCUCUCUGUAGCAGAAUGUAAACAUAUAUAUAUAAAAAAAUACUAAAAAACACACAUAAAAAAACAAAAAACAAAAAACAAAAUGCAGUGUGUGUAUGAGUGCGCAGUGUGUGUAUGAAUGCAGUGUGUGUAUGAGUGCGCAGUGUGUGUAUGAAUGCAGUGUGUGUAUGAGUGCAGUGUGUGUAUGAGUGCAGUGUGUGUAUGAAUGCAGUGUGUGUAUAAAUGCAGUGUGUGUAUGAGUGCAGUGUGUGUAUAAAUGCAGUGUUUGUAUGAGUGCAGUGUGUGUAUGAAUGCAGUGUGUGUGUAUAUGAGUGCAGUGUGUGUAUAUGAGUGCAGUGUGUGUGUGUGUUAUGCAGUGUGUGUUUGUGUUGCAGAGCCUUGGUGGGGGGUGGGCAUUUUUAUAAAAAAAAAUAAUUAUUAUUUUAAUUUUUUUUUGUUAUAUUAUUAUUUUUUUUAUUUUUUUUUAUUAUUAUUUUUAUUAUUAUUUAUUUAUUUUUUGUCCCCCCUCCCUGCUUGAUACAUGGCAGGGAGGGGGGCUCUCCUUCCUUGGUGGUCCAUUGGCAGUUCAGUGGGGGGAGGAGGGGGGCUGGCAGAGCUGUUACUUACCUCUCCUGCAGCUCCUGCCAGCUCCCUCCUCCUCCGCGCCGGUUCGUGCAGCUCUUCUCUCAGCUCACACUGUAAGUCUCGCGAGAGCCGCACUAUGACCCUGCGGCUCUCGCGAGACUUACACUGGGAGCUGACUGAGGUGCUGACCGGACCGGCGCGGAGGAGCAGGGAGCUGACAGGAGCUGCAGGAGAGGCAAGUAACAGCUCUGCCAGCCCCAGUCUGUAUUAUGGCAAUGUAAAUUAAUGUAAGUUGCCAUAAUACAGACAGUGACUCGAGUAUAAGCCGAGUUGGGGUUUUUCAGCACAAAAAAUGUGCCGAAAAACUCGGCUUAUACUCGAGUAUAUACGGUAUUCUUAGCUAGCUGUACCUACUGCGUGUGACAAUCUAGCCACUUUCAGGCACUCACGGGCAGAGCUAGGUGGUAAAAUCAGAAUUGUCCGUAGUUCAAAUUUUAGAUCAAUAUAGCGGAAUUGGGUUACAUUUUCCAAAUCUGCUACUUUGGCCUUGCAUUUGAAAUCCCCUUUAGUUUAUGUAUGUACGUAAUGGGCAAUCGCAAUGCAGCAUAAUAACAUAAACUGACCCAAGGCAACCCCAAAAUAAUGACAGACAACGUAUUAUGGAUGAAACAGGCCACAGCAUUUAUUAUAACAUAUGAUAAUUACUGUAUAACACAUCCAUAAUUUAUUUAAUAAUCUCUCUUCUUUUCUGUAACCAAAACGUUAAACAUAAAUAACCAUAAGUUAAGAUAUAUAACUUAACACAUAGCGUCAUACGGUGUAACCCAACCGUCCUUGCCAAUAACUGACCAUGCGCCUAUGUACCACUUCUUCUCACAUCCCCCCUCAGCAUAAACUCCUUUUCCUUCCAAUGCUUACCACCAGCUGACCUUUUCCUCGCUCGGUGGGCACGACACCCCAGGUAACCUAAUGUUAACCCUUUAGAGCAGGGGAGGUUGAGACCUGAAACUUGUUCACUUCAUUCCACAUAAUUAACGUAACCACCUCAAACUUAAUUGGCAAGGACCCCCGGCUAGCUAUGACGGAAAAAAAACAAUAGGGAGGGAAGCUGUUUGCUGGUCCGAAUGCCAAGUGGCACUGAGGUAAGACCACCCCCACACUAACUCACAUAGAACAUUAUCCCACCCACACACACUCUUUCCCAACCAAUCCCAUGCAUCUAUCCCCACACUCCUACAUGUGCCCUUGUCCGCUUAGCUGCGCUAUCUCCCCAGGGCCUGGACAAUUGUCACUUUACAAAGAACCUUGAAAGUAAAAUUUGUUAAAUAUUUUUUUUACAGUGGAGGUUAAGAUGAUGUUGUAUAAUCUCUAACACAUUCUUCCACUUCAACAUGUCUGCAAAAUAUUGAGAAAAGGGUUAAACACAAAUGCAAUGAAUUGAAUUUAUAAAAUACAUAAAUUAUAGAUAAAUUCACGUGUGAAAUGCCAGUUUACACUUUUUUGCCCCAGGAAGUCUACAUUAUACAGCGCACAAGUAGCAAGAUUAUUGUCGGCAGUGGGUUUUCUGGUUACUGACCAGGAUUUGAUCUCCAGCUGAUUUGUAAAGUGCUGAAACACUACAAUGUCAAUCAGAAUAGAACUUCCAGAUUGAUUUAAUGCCAGACCUCACAUUCUCUCACUAACAAGCAGCAUUUUUAGAAGCAGGUAAACAUCGUAACUUUUACCGCAAUAUUUGAACCUAUGUCUGUCUGCUAUUUCAUAUAAAAUCUAAUUACUGCUUCCUUGAUUUUUUGGGGGGUGCUUUGAUAAAUAUAUUUUUUUCAAAACUGACAGUUUAAAACAAAGGUUUACAUUUUUUAUACUUAUGACCACGGGUACUGGCUGCUUGCAGUGCUGAUAGUAUUUCAUAAUAGCCCCCUCUGACAAAGUUAAACUAUGAGAAACAGCAGGCUGUCUCUGUAACUGCAAUAUUUUACAUUGCAGGGCUAAUGACAGGGACAUUGCUGCCACACCACUUCAAUAAGAUGAAGCAUUUUGGGUGCCUAUAGUGACCCUUUAAAUGUACUGUCAAAGUUCGUGUUUUUUUAUGUACUUUAAAAUAAAAAUAUGCAUUACACAGAGAUAGGUGUAAGUAGUUACCUAAAUGGGAGACAACAGAGAUUAUUCGGUCCUAUUAUGAUGUGGUCAACCACGUUAGCAAGCUUGAAAAUUCACGGAUCCCUUGUUGCAGUAUUCUCUGUUUCAAUGGGAAAAGUUAAAGGUAACAUUCUAACUAAAUCAAAAAGCUAAACAUAUUUUAAUUGCUGUGAUAGCUAACAUGUAACAAUGCAUUUAUAAACAUCCUAAAACCAUAUAUCCCGCGUACCUGUAAUAGGUAAUAUUUGUAAAGAGCCGGCAUGUGAUGCAAUCGUAUAAAAUAUUAAUCAGGUUUAUGCACCAUGUGGUCACACAGUUAUGUGAAACUUGGAGAAUUCUCUUGGAUUGAAAUGCAGUUCAAUCAACUGUUCUGCAGAAUUCCUAAAUUCUCAGCUGAAAUAUUCCUGAUCUAAGGACUAACUGAACCACACAAUGCCAAACAUGUCAAUAUUCUGAAUUCGGCCAAAGGAUGAGAUAAUUGAUUCAGAAAAGAAUGACUGAAGACAAGGGGACCGCCACUAAAUCUUAAUUUUAUUUACAGAUAAGUUAGAACAAUACAGGAAAACACAGGAGGGGCAGUAAAAGUAUAUAUUUCUCCAUUUAAUAAUUAUAUCAUCUAUAUUUAUUUUACUGUUUGUGGUAACAUGUGAGCAGGCAGGACUGGGAUGUUAGUUAGAAGGUAGUUUACAAAUGGUGGUAAAAGUGUAGAGAAUACUAUGUUUGCAUUACACAAGCAGCGGGGGGCUAUACCGGAUAGAAUGAGCUGUCUGUUAGCUGUUUCCAAACUGCCUCUGUUUAAACUGCAGCUUUAGACAAAAUCGGCAGCCCCUAAGAUUUAUAUAUUGACUUAUUUACUAAGCAAUUAACUGAAAUCAAAAUUGCAAAACUGAGCUUAAAAUGUGGUGAUUAUGGCCACAUGGCAAAAUUUUUCAAAAAUCAUCCAUAUUGACAUGAAUUGUGUAAUCUGGGGUUCAGAUGGCUACAAAUCACUGUUUAAUCAAUAACCCUGUAGGUUUGUUUGAUUCUUCAAAUCACCUGGUUUUAUUGUAUCUAUUUUGGCUUCAACUUCCCUGUGUAUUCCCAAAAAUUCAGGUACUAGUGACUAAUCAUGGAAUGAUAUCAUGGUCAAUAUAUAAUCAUGGUGUUAUAUUUGGCCUUUUUUUACAUUGUGAUUGGUUUCAUAUUUUGGGGUACUCAUCCUAUAGUUCAUAUAUACCAUAUUUUAUAUCCGUAUUAUUUAUGUUGACAUUUUAAGAAUUAUUCCAGCUAAAAAUAAAGGUGUCACUAGAAUUGUCCCAACAAUGUUUAAAUUCUGGCCAAACCACAGUCCGCUGUAACUAAACUCGCCCAUCAGUCUCUAUUCUAAAUGGUGUUCACGUUAUUAUAAAGCGUAUUGUUUUAUCGAGUUACACAUUACAGGGUCUCUGUAUAUUGUCACAUAUUAAAUCAAUGCUGAAAUUCACACACCAGAAUGAUGACAUAAAAAAAACACAGACUCUCCCCGGCCGCCUCAAACCUAAUAAUCAUUUAUUUCCUCGCUGCAAACUCUAUCUCAUGUUUAGGAAACAACCAGCGAAAUCCCAGCUGGCCAAAUUAGCCACAACGCAAAACUGCGCGCGCAGCUACAGAUCACAGUUUGGUUAUUAAGGAGUAUAUGUAGUUGCUGGGACACAGGACAGAAAUGAAUUUUAUCGAAUCCGGCUACUCGAUCUACAAAGGAAAUCUAUUCCUUGUUAUCUAACAAUCAUUAAAGCAAUGUAUAUUCCAGUUUGUGAGGGCAAUGUACCAUUCAAGUUGCCUUUGAUAAACACAUAGUAUCUCUGCUUGUAAGAUUUGCUAAGACUGGAAAUUGGAGUAAAAACACAGUAUACAUUGGUAGCAAAAUAUUAUUUUUAAAAUAAUAAUAUAAAAUAAUUGGGUAAGUAUAAAAACGUUUACUUUAUUAUUACUUCUGAUGAAGCCUUGAAAGGAGAAACACAUUAAGUGUGGUCCUGAUAGUUUAUUGAACUUUUUUUUUAUUUUUAUAUGUUUUAAAAAUUUGAAAAAUAAAUUAAUACAUAACUGCUAUGUUCCUGUUUUGCUUCCAGAAAUCUGCAAUAUCCUUAGGUGUGGAUUAUACCACCCAAACCUUAUACCACAAGAGCAAGUCCU